UCAAAAUGAACAUAAUCAAACUGGGGUUUUGCUGGAAGAGAAUAAGGACAGGUCAAGAAAAGGCCUAUUGCGCGAUUUGGAUUGGGAUGACAGAGGACAGAGAAAUGUGGAUGAGUAAUGAUUGAAAGCCAACGUUUGGAUACGGUUUUCAAACAGAGAAGGGAUUUUAUAGGUAUGCGUAAAAGAAUUUCAAUCAAUAGAUCAUCAAUCGAAACAACUAUUCGAGCUGAUGAUUGCUGCUCUAAAUCUUAAAAUUUGGGGACCUUGAGUUUAAUGCCUUGCAUUUUUAGUAAAGUUUUAUUUGUGUUGUGCAAGAAUUGCUGGUGAUGGAUGCAUGUUUAAUAUGUCAACAUAUAGGUAAAGAUUGCGUAGGUAGUUUCAUUAUUUGAUUAAGUUGACAAGGUCUAUGAUGUGAACAGAUGAUCUGAAUUACAUAAACGUGGUUUUUUACUUGACUUUAAUUGGCAAUUUUGUCCUCUAACUUUGGGUAUGCAUAAGUAGAUACUUAAACUUAAAUAAAAUUGAACAAAUAGACACAUUCGUCUUAUAUGAGUCCUACAUGACAAUUUUGUGUCCUAUGACGUCCUAUACUUAUUAUGUCAUGUAAGACAUGUGUGUUUAUUUGUUCAAUUUUAUACAAGUUUAAGAGUCUACUUGUGCACAUUCAAAGUUGGAGGACAUGGAUCUCAGUGAACCCGAAUUAAGAACAUAUUUACAUGUUAUGGCAAGUGUAGAGUAAAGUUUAAUGUGAUCAUCUAUGAAAUUAACCAACCUAUUUCAGUUGAGUGAAUUUUACUGGGUAGAAAAUAGAAUCUGUGUGGAUGAUUAAGAAGAAAUGUACAAAUCUGUAUUGGCUAUCAAUUAUCAUCAUGUCAUCAACUAUACCAAUUAAUGAGUUUUUAUAGAAUAUGAAAUCAUUUCUAUUUAAAAGGGAAUGAUAUUCUCAAAAUAUGUGGAAAUAACAAUAACAAUAUGAAUAUAUGAGAACUAAGUAUUCUCAAGAGUAAAUGUUUUCACAUUCAAAAGAGGAGAAAACUGAGAUUGAGGAGUUUUUGAGUACUAUCUCUUUUCAGAGAAAUAUUUUGAGUAAUAAUCUCAAACCAGAGGAAGAGUUAUGUUUUUUAAACAUAUGAGCUAAGUAUAUUUUUGGGAAUAGUAUUGAGCACCGAUAUGGGGGAGAGAUCAGAUAACUCACAGCCCCCAUAAACCAUGUAGCAAACGUGGGUAGAAAUGGUCAUACUUUUUAUAUCUUAGUUUGUAUAUGAAAAUACAAAAUAACUUUGUGGGAGAUUCUCUAACCGACAACUAUCACUAUGAGCUAUGUGAUGAUACAACGUUUAGCCCACGCUGCCAGAACUAUCCUAUACUUUGCCGGGGUAUAGGACCUACUCACUAAGUGGAUCCACUAGUCUAUGCUUAAAAGAACUAAGGAAUCAUCUAAAAAGUAUGGCCCUUUCUACCCACGUUGGCUACAUGGUUUAUGAGGACUUUGAGUUAUCUGAAUUCAUCCCCAUAUCGGUGCUCAAUACUGUUAUGGAAUGGAAGAAACUAGAAAGAAAAAUUAAAGAGAGAAUGAAUGAUAACUCUUUGUAUUGAUUCUUGCAUUGAUUCAAAUAGAAGAGUACAUCCCUAUUAUAAAUAAUUAAGGGGAAUCCUUCCUAAAGAAGAAUCUUUCUAGAUACUAAACUAAAGGAGAAUCCUUCUAUAUACUAAACUAAAAUAAAACUGAAUAUUUUGCAAUUAAUGUAAACCCUGGACUUAAAAAUUAAAUACUAUAGAAUACUUUAGACUAAAAAAUUAAAAGUAAAAAGAUUCUACCAAAUUUCAACAUUCCCCCUCAAACUCAAGUUGGUGUAUCUAACUUGAGUUUGAACACUUAGUUAUUCUUGAGAAUAUCUUCUCCUUUUCAUGUUUUUUCCCAAGUUUCUUUUGUCGUUUCAAAUACAAUGAUUUUAGAGAAGAUUGAAUUUGCAAUUGAAUUUUGAAUUACAAUUUUGGCUUUGUAUAUUAUGGUUUUCCCUUCUGAGUGAAGUUUGAUUUCAGGAGUGGAAUAAUAAGUUUUUUCAGAGAGUGAUUGCAUGAGUUUUUCUUCCAUUACAGUUUCCCACAAAUCAUAAGCCUCAAGAUAAGACUUCAUCCUAACUGCCAAGAUUUGAUAAUUUUCACCAUUGAAGGUUUGUGGGGUAUUGAAAGAAAGAGUCAUGUUUGUCAUGGUUUGAAAAUAAGGUUUAAAAUAGUAUGGAUUAAAAUUGGUUAUAAGUAGCCCUGAGUUAAAAAUAAAAGCACGGGUUAAAAUUGGCCCUGCGUUAAAAAUAAAAGCACGGAUUAAAAUUGGGUUGAAAAUAUGUAUGAAAAUAAAGUGGUUGAAAGUUCUUUUUGAAAGAACUCACAGAUCCAUUAAGAUCAAUGGAAUGCUCUGAUACCACUGUUAUGGAAUGGAAGAAACUAGAAAGGAAAAUUAAAGAGAGAACGAAUGAUAACUCUUUGUAUUGAUUCUUGCAUUGAUUCUAAUAGAAGAGUACAUCCCUAUUUAUAAAUAAUUAAGGAGAAUCCUUCCUAAAGAAGAAUCCUUCUAGAUACUAAACUAAAGGAGGAUCCUUCUAGAUACUAAACUAAAAUAAAACUAAAUAUUUUGCAAUUAAUGUAAACCCUAGACUUGAAAGAAAAUUAAAUACUAUAAAAUAUUUUUAGCCAAAAAAAAAGAAAAAAAAGAUUCUACCAAAUUCCAACAAAUACUACUCUCAAAAAUAUAAACUUAGCUCAUAUGUUUAAAAACAUAAAUAUUUCUCUGAUUUGAGAUUGUUACUCAAAAUAUUUCUCUUAAAAGAAAUAGUGCUCAAAACUGCUCAAGAACUCUUUCGAAAAUCGGUGUUUUUCUCUCAUCUUAAAUGUAAAAAUAUUUACUCUUGGGAAUACUUAGUUCUCAUAUAUCAUUUUGAAGAAAAUAAACUCAACUCUACUCUUCUUCAAACUCAAAUACUCAAGUCUUAAAACAAGUUUAAAAGAUUUUGCAAAAGACUUCUCAAAAGACUCGAAGGAACUCUCAAGACUUAACUCUUAACUCUACCUUGAAUUUGAAUUAUGGAUUCAAGGGUUAUGAUAUCAUGUUAUGGAUGAUCUCUCGAUGUUUAGAUGUAAUUUAGAGUGUGGAUAUAAAGUAGAAAGCAUAGGUACGAUUCGAGGGAACUCAUACGAAAAGAAGGAUGAAAGAGUAGGGAACCUGGCGACCCUGGCGCACUGAGUGGCGCGGGGCACCAACCCCUGAAUUACUGAAGGGGGGUUGGGGUGCACUGAGUGGCGUGGCGCCCCAAGAGAAAAACUACAGAACAUCUUUUCUGGCGCAGCGCAUCAGCCUCUGCCCAGAACUUCCCGACGAAUUUUCUUUCUCGUUUUCUAACCCCAAUUCGCCUAGAAUUGAAUGGUUUAUUACCCACUCACUUAGAUUCGAAUACCCAUCAUAAGUACACGAUAAUCUACUCAAAACAAACCUUAAACUACUAACACUUAUCUCAAGAAUUCAUCAAAAACCAACAAUCAAGAUUGCAAAUGAAAUUUCAAGAAAACUCUUCAAGAACACAAAUCCUUCAACUUCAAGAACGAAAUUACACUGAAAAUAGCAUGAUUGGCGUGUGGGUGAACGAACCCAACACUAUGAGAACUCACAUACCUCUUAGGAUCGAAUCCUUGGCGAAAACCUUUCGAAAAUCUCCUGAAUCUUGACGUACACUUUGAACUUUUCUCUCUUUCUCCUCUUCUUGAACUCCUCUCAAAACCCUAAGCGUAUUUGGGAUUUGUAAAAAUGACCCAAAUCAGAUUUAACCCCAAAAUAUUACUAAAAAUCGUUUUAAGCUAAACGGGUAAGGAAAAGAUCAAAAUACCCCUCAUUAAUUCGGGUAACUUUCCUUAACUGGACAGACAUAUUUCAAACGGUCAUAUCUCUCUCAUCCGAACUCAGAACUUAGCAAACUCGGUGUCGUUGGAAAGAGGAUUUCAAGACCUUUCAUUUGAUAUCUUAUGGGCUACCUAACUCAUCCUGUACUGAAAGUUAUGGUCAUUUGAAGUUGACCCAAACCUCACAACUUAAGCAUAACUUGAAAUUUUUUCAGAUUUAGCUAUUUCCAAUUUAGCGAUUUCUAAAAUUAGCUCUUUCUAAGGCAGGAUGUUACAAUACAUCACUGUACGCGAUGUAUCGGUUGGAUAUAUCACUUUACGCGAUGUAUCUAGAUGUUACUUUACGCGAUGUAUCAGGACGUUGAGUGAUGUAUCCAAAACCGAGACGUGAUGUAUCAAGACGUUGCGGGAUGUAUCCGAAAUCGGGUGCGAUGGAUCAGGAUGGUUUAGGAUGUAUCCGGAUUAUACCAAAUUUAAGGGAAUUUUGUAAUUUGAAAAGGAAUAGGAAUAGGAUUAGGGUAGUUUAAAACCGAACCGAAUCCAAUAACCCGGACCAAGAAAAAGUUAUUGGUUUAUCAGUAAUGACUUACUGAUUUAGCGAUUUUGAUAACGGUUUUGAUAUUUUUUGUUAUCGGGUUAUCGAUGCUUAACAAUUUGAAGUUUUUUCUUAACGGGCAAACCGAUAACCCGAUAGUAAAUUAAAUAAUUAUAUUAAUACCAUUUUUUUAAAAUAUAAAGUCAUUGACUUAGAGUUCAGUUUUCUACUUUUAUUUCUGGUUGUCUCAAACUCUUGGUUAUUCUACAAUGUAAAAGUGUUUGCUUUUGAGCAAGAUGCAACUUGUGAACUCAUGUGCAUGGUUCAUUUGGUUUGUCACCUUGUUUCUAAGUGAUUUUUCAAUAUUUUUUUGUGUCAACUCAUAACGGUUAAACCGAUAAAUGAACCAAUAACGAUCAAUAAUCGAUAAACCAAUAACUGAUAAGUCAAUAUCUUAAUGGUUCUAUAACGGUUUAGCAUCUCUACAAAUUGAUAAUCAAUAAGUCAAACCAAUAAACUUCAAAACCGAUUUGAACCGAUCGACACACAACUCCAAAUAGUGUGUAAUUAGCUCUUAACACUAUUGAAUUUGUGUAAAAUCUACAUAAUUGUAUGUAAUGCCACGUUAUUAUAAAAUUAAAUAUAUGAUUAAUUGGUUUGAGAAAUAUAAGCAUUACUAAGUUAAAUUGGUCACUGCAUUCAAUAUUGAUUGAAUUAUAUACAAUAUCUAGUCUAAAUUAAAAAUCAAAUCAAAAGACAUUAAAAAGCUAAAAAAUAAUAAUAAAGCAACAAUAAAUUCAAAAAAAUUGUACAGGGUUAAAUUUCUUUGAUUUUUUAUUUUUUAUUUUUAAAUUUUAAAUAUUUAUUACAUUUUCCAACACCCAUAAAGUUUCUUAAGUAACGAUGUCUAUAAAAAAAAUUGCAAUGGGAUUAACUAAAAAAGUACAUAAUUGUAUUAAAUAAUAAUUAUUGAGUUGACAUUUUUCUAGCAUAAUUAAGAUUAAUGGAUGGAUUUUAGUUUAAAGUAAUCAUUACAUGACCAAAGUGAGCCAACCGAGCUGAGCUAAAACCAUGCGAGUUGGGUCGAGCUAAAUACAUGUGAGCCAGACCAAUCCCCAAUCCAGCACACAAUAAGUAUAACUGUGGGUAAAGAAGAUAUUUGGCAUGACUCACCAAACAAAACAAAAACUCAAGCGUGAAAUUCUGUGGGGGAAAUUAUAAGAUGAGUUUUCUCACGAGUGUAGGGUCCUCAAGAACACGAUAAGGAUUUUUGGUGUGGCUCACCAAAUAAAACAAACACUCAAGGCGUGAAAUUUCGUGGGGGAAAAUAUAGGAUGAGUUUUCUCGUGAGUGUGAGGCCCUCGAGAACACGACAAGGAUGUUUGGCGUGGGCGCGUGGCUCACCAAACAACAUCUCAAGGCGUGAAGUUCCUUGGGGGGAAUUAUAGGUUGAGUUUUCUUGUGAGUAUGGGGUCCUUGAUAACACGACAAGAAGGUUUGGCGUGUGAUACGUCCAAAUUACACCUCCCUAAAGAAGUAUAAGUGGUCGUUGUUCAAAUAAAGAACCUAACAGAGGUUAGGGUCGAUCCCAUGAGGAUCGAGUCUAAACUUGGGCUAAUUUGUUGUUAAUUAUACUUUUAGUUUAGUUAUUUCCAUAAAGGUGGGGAGUUUUGUAAAAUAAAAUUUUAAUUGAUAAGUAAACAAAAUUGAAUGUUUUGUGUUAUCAAAAGAAGAUAAAACUAGGGUAUACAUGUUCCCACAAGUCCUUAAGGCAGUAAACCCUAUAAUAGUAACUUGUCUAGUGUUUAACAUGCAAAGUCGGUAAGUUAAGUAUCUCCAAAGUGGCUGGUCGAACAAAUAGGAAAUUUCACCAGGCAACUUGGUCGGUCUAUGGGUGUGUGCUUUACUAAACCUUACCCUUGACCCCAGAUUAGCUAUGGCAGAGGUGGUUCAAGCUAUUAGAUGUCGGUUGUAGUCACCGAAUCUCCAUUGUUUAAUCUCUUCUCCCAUUCGUUACUUCCUUGAUCGGGCAAGUAGGAAUAAGGCAGGUUCUAACUCGGGCCCUUAUUAAAAUCAAUUAAAGUGAAGAGAUUAACAAUACAUGCAUACAGACUUAUUCAAAAAUCACUAAUUAUUAGGUCUACAUUGUAAAUUCCUCAUGGUUCCCACAACCCUAGUUGUAGGAUUUAACUACUCAUGCUUGAGUUAUCACAAUUCAUAUUAAGGUUGUUAAAAUAAAUUAUUAACUUACAAUUAGAGAAGUUGAAAUCCAGAAGCUUGAAUUGAUGAACAAAAGAUGUAUUAUAAACCAAUUAUUCAAGAAUUAAAUGGCAAAGUGUUUGCCAAAAUAAUUCUCAAAUCCAAAACUCAAAAUACAAGUUGUCUAACAGUUAAAUUGAGAAUUAAAUGACUAUUUAUAAACAUAUAAUCCUAAACAAACUCAGAAAAGGAAAAAUAGGAGUCGAUAGUUCUUCUAUGAAUUGGUCUUACGGCUCGUAGAAACCUUCCGUCAAAAAAACCUUCUUGGUAAAAUCUCUUAACUUUUCUACGGGUGUGUUCUACGACCCAUAGAACUUUGCACAACCCAUCCUGAUUUCUCGUCGUCCAAGUACUGGAGCUCAAAAUCUUUGAUCUUUCCUACGACUUGGACCUACAGAUCAUUGUUCAGUCUCGUCUCCCAACACUUAUCUCUAAAAACCAUCAUUGCAUUUUACGAUUCAUUCCUACGGCUCGUAGAGAAGUCUACCGCUCGUAGGUGAAGUCGUCCAACCUCAAAAAGCUGAUGCUUCAACUUGUUUCAUCCUGACUUAUCAUAAACCUUUUUUCCUACAAAACAUAAGUAAAAUACCAUCAAAUGUACUAACAAAUGCUUAAGACAUAUGCAAAACUCCAAGUUUAAAGCAUGAUAAGUACCGUAAAUCCGCGGUACAUCAGCAUGACUUACCAAACAAAAACUCAAGGUGUGAAAUUCCUUGGGGGAAAUUAUAUGAUGAGUUUUCUUUUGAGUGUGAGGUCCUCAAGGACACGAUAAGGAUGUUUGGCGUGGCUCACCAAGCAAAACAAAAGCUCAAGGUGUGAGUUCCGAGGGGAAAAUUAUAGGAUAAAUUUUCUCGUGAGUGUGGGGUCCUCGAGAACAUGACAAGGAUGUUUGGCGUGUCUCACAAAACAAAACAAAAACUCAAGGUGUGAAAUUCUGUGAGGGGAUUAUAAGAUGAGUUUCUCGUGAGUGUGGGGUCCUCGAGAACACGACAAAGAUGUCUGGUGUGGCUCACCAAUCAAAACAAAAACUCAAGGUGUGAAAUUUCGUGGGAGCAAUUAUAGAAUGAUUUUUCUCGUGAUUGCGGAGUCCUCGAGAAUAAUUUACACAAUAAGCAUGCACUACACCAUUAUAAAAGGAAUGAUAUUUCUAAAAGAAAAGGAAAGAGAUAUAGAGAGAUUCAUAUAUAUUUUGACCCUCAAAAAUUAAGUAUAAGUAAAAAAUCCGUGAAGCAACAAUAUCUUAUGAGCAAAGAUGUAGUUAUUCUUGGAGCUCCAUUAGUCGAAGGUGAGAUUCUACCUUCAAUUUUCUAUUGCAAAUUUAAUAAUUUUGAUUGUAAUGUAAAAACCUACUCAUUCCUUUUCCAUCUAUUUUUAAUUGUUUUAUGAGCUAAUCGUUUUUUCUUGCUACUACAAUAAUAAUAAUAAUAACAUAAUAAUAAUAAUAAAUCAUACAAAUCUCUUCUUUUAUUUCAAUUUAUGACUUUAAUUACAAGUUAAAUGUUCAAACGACAAAUUAAAUAAGAUAUUAAAACUCUAAACUUUUUCAAUGGUAAAAUAAUUAAUUGUAGAACUUGAUUAAAUUACAGAUUUACAUAUAUGAAGGAUAAGGUCUUUAUUUAUAAACCCUUUGAUUUGAUUUCUUUCUUUGUUUUUCUUGAAGUAAUUAAAUAUUUGUUUUUCUAUUCAUAUAUUCUAUUCAUAUCAUAUUAUUUUACUUAUAUUGACCUGUCACACUUUUUAAAAAAAAUAUUUAAGUAAAGACAUAUUUUACUAAACUAAUCUUCUUUAUGAUGUUUUGAAAUUUAUUUUGCUAAAACGAACACAUAAAAUUAAAAAUUCAUUUUUAAAAUAAAGGUCAAAUAAAAUAAAAUGGCGAGAGUAUCAAUGUUAACUUUAUUAAAGGUCUAAUAUUGCUUAUAAAAAUAAACUUGGGAAAUCAGAUAAGAUAAUCAUCCACCUCUUUUUAUUUAUUUAUUUCUAUUUGUUUAUGAAAGUUUGAGUCUUCCUCAUAAAAACUUUUUUUAUUUGAAUUUAAGUUUUAACUCUCUCCUCCUCUUUUAGGUAUUCAAUAUUCAAAAUUGAUCUACAUAGAUUCAUGUUGGACAGAUUCACUAACAGAGAUAAAGUGGAUCUACAAGAAGUUCUUCAUCCUUGUCACUCGAAUUCGAGAUCUCUGGUUAAUAGUAAAGGGAUUUUAUAUCUCUUCACACCUCUUUUCGGUAAGUUUUAAUAUAACAAUUCGUUUCCGUUUCAUCAAUUUGGUACCAAUUGCUCUAUCUUUUCUUCAAAUUUAUCUUAUUAAUAUUUCUAUGAUGUAAAAAUUUUCAUUUCCAAAAAUAAAAAUUUUGAUUUUUUUUACAUAUUAUGGAAAAAUGAUGCACGCCCAAUCAAUUAUCAAGUUUACUUUAAAGCAGAAAACUCAAAAUUCUCCACCAUAAACAUAAUAUGUUUUAUGUUAAUACGGAUAAAUAUGGAAAAAUUACUUAAAUACACAACUUCAUUUAUCUUAUUUUCCAAAAUUCCCUACCAUUUUAAAAAAUUACAAAAAUCCGUAUUUUUCUCACUCUCUCUCCUAAUCUCCGAUACACUCAAACUCUCCACCCUCAUCACUUCAUUUCCCCAAAAUCAGCCCAACUUUCCCAAAAUCACGCUUAACUUCAUCAUAUUCAAAUUCUAAAUAAGGUAGAAAAAUUUGUAUUCAAACCUAUCAGUAUUCUUCACAAACACGUUUUUAUCAGUGGGAAUGGACAAAGAUUUAGUGGUGGUUCUACCCUCAUGAAUAACUAGGAAUUCAAACAAAUAUUUAAUGCCGGUAUAGACGCAAUUUACUUCACAUUCAAAGCCAAGAAUGUGAAAUAAAUUGUGUCCAUACCAACAUCAAAUAUUGGUUUGAAUUCCUGGUUAUUCAUGAGGGCAGAUCCGCCACAGAAUCUUUGUCCAUUCCCAUUGAUAAAUACAUCUUUGUGAAGAAUACUGAUAGGUCUGAAUAUAAUUUUUUCUACCUUAUUUAGAAUUUGAAAUUAAUGAAGUUAAGCGUGAUUUUGAGGAAGUUGGGUUGAUUUUGGGGAAAUUAAGAGAUGUGGGUGGAGAGUUUGAGGAAUGUAUCAGAGAUUAGGAGAGAGAGUGAGGAAAAUAGGGAUUUUGUAAUAUUUUUAAAUGGUAGGAAAUUUUGGAAAAUAUGAGAAAUUAAGUUGUGUAUUCAAAGCUGAAGCCUAAUUUUAUGAGUAAGAAACAACUAACACUUUUAACUUUCAUAUGGACAGAUGCACUUGUUUUCGACUGCAGAUGGAAAGAGGAAUGGACAGUUUUUGCUUCUUUAAUCUCAGAGCUCGCACUACUUACUAUCUUGCUUAUAAUUGUUGGGGUUCUAUAUCGAAUGAGGACAAAUGUGCUAGGUAAAAAGAAUCACCUUGCGCUGCUAUUAUAUCAUUUUCAUAGAUCUUCAUUACAGACUAAGCUUAGUUUCACUAGAGCACUAUUAUUUAGCAAACACAUGACCUAAGUAAGAUAGCUAGCCUAAUACUCAUAUUAAGGUAUUGUUCACAUCCAUUAUUUUCUGAUUAAUUUGCUUUCUCAAAAUAAUAUCUUUAUCUGAGCAGAUGAACCAGAAAUCAAUCAGCCGGCAAAAUCUCAAGGAUCUUUGCUGCAGGGCACUAAUGUCAUUGCAUAUGAUUCCUGUGAUCUAGCUGCAACCACUAACAAUUUCUCGCUUGCUAAUAAGAUAGGGCCUGGUGGCUUUGGCAAUGUUUAUAAGGUUAUUAUUUCUUUUCAACAAGCAUGAAAAUGCAUAUUUACAGUAACUCAGACAACAAAAUUAAUACCCAAAUGAUACAUAAUAUCUGUAGGGUGUACUAGAGAAUGGAGUAGAAAUAGCAGUGAAGAAGCAAAGACGUGACUUCACGCCAAGGAUUUACGGAGUUCGAGAAUGAAUUCAAGUUAAUAGCAAAGCUACAGCAUCAUAACCUAACCAAGUUGUUGGGAUACUGCAUUAAUGGAGCAGAAAAUUCCUAGUCUAUGAGUUCAUGGCGAAUAAUAGCCUAGACAAGGUCAUAUUUGGUAUGACAUCUUAUAUAACAUUCUUCUUUUUUGCUAUUGUACGUCUGUGUUGUUUUGAUAUUGAAAAGCCUCAAAAGACAUAAAUUUGGGAGUAUCCGAGUGAAAUUGAGUAACUAUUUUUUGUACUUGUCCAGAUCUUGCAAGAAGGGGUACAGUGACAUGGCCAAUACAUAUAGUAGCUGGAAACAAAUGGUAAACAAAUUAUGCUCGUCUUCUGGGAAUACCACUUUCAACAAGAAAGCUCUCAAUACAAAAAUGUCUCCCUACUAUUGAGAAGAUGAUAGCAAAUAAAAUGUUGCCUUCUAAGUUGUUGUCAUACAGAAGUAGUCUGCAACUAUUGUAGAGUGGCAUGUCAAUGGUGCAACAAUAUACAAGCCUAAGACAACAUGUACAUUGAAUGUGAUAGAUAUAUAUACAUGGAACAAGGCGGCAAUUGUAAGCAAUAAGAAGUCACUGACUUUAAUGAACAAGAUGAGAACAAGAUUCAUUUUUGAUAUUGUAUCUCAAUCUAGAAUUGUUACAAUAUAUACAUUUUAUGUUAUAAAUAUUAAAUAUUGUAACCUAUAAAUACUUUUUGAUUGAUUUGAUAAUAUAAAAAAUCUUACUGAUAUUAGUUGAACUCUUUGAUGUUAGUUUAAUUUUUUUUUAAAAAAGAACUCUUUGAUGAUUUUAUUUCUUCUUUUUGGGGCUUUGUUAUAAAGUGUAUAAAAGGAACAAAUAUGACAAAUUUUUUCUCUCUAUUUACAACGUGGAAUUCAUGCAACAUAUGACAAUUUUUUAUCUGGCAUAAUACAUAUAUUGGACCCUAAACUUGGCUUCAAAUUUUAACUUUGACCUCCAACUUUCAUAGUGCACAAAUAGGCACUUUAAUUAUCCAACUUUUAAAUAAAUAAACACACGAUUUUUGCAGCCAAAGAGCGUGAAAUGCAAACGCUCUCACGUGUAUUAGUGAGCCACUCAAUUGCUGCCAACUAAUUAAAUAUAUUACACGUCGAUUUUCAAACUAAAAAAAAUUAAAAUUAAUUCCAAUUCAUAUACAAGGGUACAGCGUAAAAGACAUUUUCAUUUCACCCGAUCGUCUCUCAAAAGGUCAAAACCAUAGCUAGGAUAAAUGUAACGCCCCAACAAAUUUUUGAACUAAGACUCGAACCAUCCUUCGUUGUGAGCAGGAUUUUACCGAGGAAUUUAAAAUUUCUUAAGUUUUAUGGUGACUAGAUGUAGCAUCUAUCCUUCGUUGUGAGUAGGAUUUUACCGAGGAAUUUAAAAUUUCUUUAGGUGUUAAGGUCACUAGAUGUAGCACCUUGAGUUCCAAAAAGAACUGAAGAGAGUUCAUUCAAGUAAUUCCUAAGUUCUUUCAAGUUUUGGGUCAACUUCAAACAAUCAUAACUUUCUUUGAAAUAUCUUUGAAUUAUCUUUCCAACACCACCGAUUUUGCUAAGUUUAGAGUUUGGAUGAGUGAGAUAUGCCUUUUUGAAGUCAGGCUGUCCCAUUAAGGAAAGUUACCCAAAAAUAGUGAGGAGUAUUUUGGUCUUUUCCUUACCCAAUCAGAUUUAAUUCAUUUUUAGUAAGGUUUUAGGUGUUUAAACUGAUUAGGUUCAGUUUUAUAAUCCUAAUUUAUGAUUAGGGUUUUAGUUGAGAGCUUAAGAAGAGAAAAGAGGAAAGGAUCAAAGCGUUCGUCGAGAUUCUUGAGUUUUGUUGCGGAUUUUGCCAUGGGUUUGAUCCCUAAAAGGUAUGUAAGUUUUCAUAGUGUUGGGUUCAUUCACCCACAUGCCAAUCCUGAGUUUCUUUUUACGAAUUUCAUCCAUAAGUUUAGGUAUAUUGAGUUCUUGAUGAGUUCUUGAUAAGUGUUCUUGAAGUUUCAUUCUAAAUCUUGUUUUGUUGGGGUUUGAUGAAUUCUUGAGAUGAAAGUUAGUGAUUUUAAGGGUAGUUUUGAGUAGAUUAGUGUGUACUUAGGUUGGGUAUUCGAUUCUAAGUGAUUGGAGAAGAAACCAUUAGAUUUUACUCGAAUUAAGGUCAGAAAAUGAGUAGAAAAAUUUGUCGGAAUUGUCUGGGGGAAUGGUGGCGCGACGCGCCACAGAUGUGCUAGUAGGGCAGUGCGUCAAGAUAGUGGCUCUGAAGUUUAGGGGCUGGUGCCCCACGCCAGGAAUGCGCUAGGGUCGCCUGCCCCCACUCUUUUUCCGUUGGUUGUCCCGUUUGAGUUCCUUUGAAAUGUAUCUUCACCCCUUAUGAUUCUAACUACUUCUAAACACCUAGGAAUCAUUCAUAACAUGAAUCAUAACCUUGAAUUCAUAAUUCAAAUUCAAGGUAGAGUUAAGAGUCAAGUCUUGAGAGUUCUUUCGAACAUUUUUGAGAAAGUCCUUUGAGUCUUUUUGAAGAGUCUUCUACAAUUUCUAGUAACUUGUUUCAAGACUCGAGUAAAGUGAGUAUGAGAAUGAGGAGAAUGUAUUCAUGAGUCUACAUUAUCAUCGAGAUCCUUCAUAUCAUGAAUCAUAACUUGAAUUCAUAAUUCAAAUUCAAGAAAGAGUUAAGAGUAGAGUUUCAAGAAAGCCUUUGAGUUCAAUUGUGAAUCCUUUGAGAUAAACUAUGGAUUUUGAGUUAAGUUUUGAGGAACUAAGUAUGAGAAUGAGAAAAAGCGUAUACAUGAGUUACAUAUUGUUAUUUAGACCUUUGAGUCGAGUCGUUCAUGCCCAUAACUUCCGUAUGAACUCCAUCAGUUGAGUAUCUUUGAGAAGAGUAGUAUCUCCAAGUUCUAAGUUCUUGAGCAUUGAGUUUUAAUCGUUUAGAGAUUAUAUUCCUAAUCAUAGGACUACUACAUGUUACCCAUGAAGGUCUUUGAGUUGAGUAGUCAUGCCCAUAAUUCCUCAUGAACCCUAUGAGUCGAGCAGUCUUGAGAUAAGAAGUAUUAUUGAGCCCUUGAGUUGAGUAGUUCAUGCCCAUAAUUCUGCAUGAACCCCCGUCACCCCCCCAUUCCCCGAGUCGUGCAUUCUUGAGAUGAGUAGUAUCAUUGACUCCUUGAGUUCUGGAAUUGUUGAGUUCCAAGUAUUGAAUUAUAUGCAUGGUUAUUGAAAACCUUGAAUUGAGUCGUUCACGUCCAUAAUUCGGCAUGAACCCUAUUUUAAGAAGUCUUUUUACAAAUUAUUUUAAAACUUAUUUUAAAGACUUGAGCACUGAGUUGAGGAAGAUUAGAGUUGUGUUCAUUUUUCUUUCAAAUAAUAUAUGGGAACUAAGUAUUCCCAAGAGUAAAUGUUUUCACAUUUAAGAUUAGAGGAAACUGAGAUUUCCAAAAGAGUUUUGAGCAGUUUGAGUACCAUCUCUUUUAAGAGAAAGAUUUUUGAGUAAUAAUCUCAAACCAUAGAAAAAGGAAUGUUUUCUUUAAAACAUAAUGAGCUAAGUAUAUUUUGGGAGUAGUAUUGAGCAUCAAUAUGGUGGAGAUUUCAUACAACUCACAGCCCCCAUAAACCAUGUAGACAACGUGGGUAGAAAGGGUCAUACUUUUUGUAUGAUUCUUUAAUUCUUUUAGCAUAAACUAGUGGAUCCACUUAGUGAGUAGGUCAUAUAUCCCGACAAAGUAUAGGACAGUUCUGGCAGCGUGGGUGAGACGAUGUAUCAUCACAUAACUCAUAGUGAUGAUUGUCGGUUAGAAAAUCUCCCACAAAGUUUAUUUUGUAUUUUUGCAUACAAACAAAGUAUAUUGUAUUUUUAUACAAGUUGAGUUAUUAUUGUAUUUUUCAAUACAUUGAGUUGUGAUCUGCUGUUUUAAAAGCUUUCCAUUCAUUGCAUCUUUUAUCGUUGCUUUAUCUUGAGUUGAGUCACUUGAGUUGAGUAUUCUUCGAGUUGAGCAUCUUACAUUUGAGUUGGGUACCUUAUCGUUGAGUUGAUCCCUAUUUCUUUGAGUUGAGUUGCGAAGAGGUAAGUAUGUUUCUUUUCCAUCAGUUCAAGCUUAUGGUUAUGCUUUAGAAUUCCGCUUACAUGCUCGUACAUUCCAUGUACUGAGCCAUUUGGCCUGCAUCGUUUCAUGAUGCAGAUACAAGUAUUCAGGAUCAUCAACAGACAUUUCGUUGAGGUCAUGGGAUGUUCCAGUCAACUUUGGUGAGCCUUCUUAUAUUUCAGAGGACUUCACCUUUAUCUUACAGUUAGUAGUUUUAAGAUGUCGUGGGUCUUGUCCCGAUAUCCUUCUGUAAUACUAGAGGCUUCAUAGAUAGACAAAGAUUAGUAGUUUUCAGUAUGUAUCUUAUUUAAGUUGGUUUUACAAACUCUGAGUUAUCUAUUGAGUAUUUUUUUCCAGAUUUCUUUAAAGCUGAGUAUUUGAGUUUAUUGAAUUUUAUUCAGUUUCAAGCUUUUGUAUGCUUGAGUUAGUCUUUCGCUUGUAGUCAGCCAGGAUGAGGGUUCGCUUGGGGACCAUCAAUGGUUCUCGAGUGCCGGCCACUUCCAGGGUGUAGACUCGGAUCGUGACAAUAAACAACCAAAAUCUGGUGAAUCAAAGAGAAAAAUUGUUCAAGAUUUCUACUGAAGUUGAUGUUCAUACGUUCAUCUUCCUCAAUUUAGUCCAGGUAUGCCUCAAUUUUGCCCUUUUGAUUGUUUAAACAAAAAAAGAUGUCUUAAAUGGCACCGUACCUGACCAUCUUCACAUCCAAGAAACCAACGACUUGGAUUGUUUGCAAACCAAUAAAUCUUCAUUAUAGCACUUUUUCCACAAUGACAAAAAAUUAGAAGCCAUUUGCACUAAAUAUGAGCAGAAAUCGUUCUAAAGAGAGGAAAACAAUCUUUGUUUGAAAGAGGAGGGAAAAAAAUGAGAUUUUGAUUUGGAAAUAUAAAGAUAUAUAUAAAAAGGAUUCAUUAAGGGUAGAGUUGUCAUCUCAACAAUUUUUUUACUGUUGUGGGCCUCAAAAAAUACUCCUAACUCGUGUAGAAUAAGUGCACAUCACGCGUUUUACCAGGUAGGACUCGCGUGUUUAUGUAUUUAAAAAUUGGAUAGUUAAAGUGCGUGUUUGUGCACUAUGAAAGUUAGCGGUCUAAGUUAAAAUUUGAAGCCAAGUUUAGGGUCCAAUAUAUGUAUUAUGCCUUUUUAUCUUAUUGUUAAAAUUAUCGUUUUACAUAUAUUUCUUCUUGAUCUAGAAAUAUUAUAGUAGUUAUUAAAUUAAAAUUACAUUCUUAUGAAAUAUGCAGGAUGUUAUUCGAAAGAGAUAUAUACUUGAAGUGUUGAAUGUAUCUGGUCUCACUAGUGUAAGUUGCAAGUCAUCUUCAGGUAUAAUCUUUAAAAUUGAGUGAUAAAUUAUGUGUGUUUAGUAAUUAUGAAAAAGUUGUUUAUCAAGAAUGAUCACCAUCUCAGGUACUAUUCAUUGCCUUCAGUGAAGACUCAUAUCUAAAUUUAUCAAGAAAUAAUACGACGCUUUGCUAUAGGAUUGUUUGCAACAAAUUCUAAUGUGUACGAUUAAACAUCAUCUAUCGAGAAAAAGGACUUAAGUGGCGUGUAGCAUGACGAUGUAGAAGUUGUUAGAGAACAAAUGAAGUUGGAUGUAGUGGCGGAGCCAUCUUAUGUUAAGGGACGGAAAGUUAAUUUGUUCAUCUAGGUUAGAAUUUUAAUUCGAUGUAUAUACGUUAAGGGUACCCAAGGGUAAGGUCUGAGUACACCCCUCCUCCUAGAUUCUACUUGUACGAUUAUACUGGUAUGUUGUUGUUGUUAAGAUGUUGGUUCAUGAAUUUUAUGUACUUCCUCUCUUUCAAUUUGUUUGUCUGGAUUUGAUAUGAUAUUUAAGAAAGUAAAGAAGAAUUUUGAAUCAUGUUAUCUUAAACUAAAGUGUACAAUGUAUCAAAAUGAACUUUAAUCUUGUGUAUUAAAUAUGUCACCUGAAAAAUUAAAAUUAAAGAGUUGUCAAAAGGAGAAAAAAUGCUCUUAAAAGAAACGUAUAGCAGACAAAUUGAAAUGGAGGAAAUUGCGGCUCUCGCUGCUUAUUAUUGUUGUAGAAAAAGAAGAGUUUUUUGCCAUUAGCAAUUCUAAAAUCAUGUUUUUUGCCUUGCAAGAAGUUCUUAAUUGUUUCAUUGUAAGUAGAAUGAGUAAUGAUAUUUAUUUUUUGUCUGCUUCAACUUUUGUAAAGAAUAAUGAUUCAUGAAUAUAUAAAGGGAAAAGUGGUAAAUAUACUUCUUAAUUUUACAAUUUAGACCUGAUAUACCUAUAGUUAAAUAAAUGAUAUAUAUAUAUAUAUAUAUAUAUAUAUGCCCUCGCCGUCUAACAUAUAGAGCAUAUUUACCCUUUUUCAUUGUAUGUGUUCAUGAAUUAUGAGGAACACAAGGAAAUGGUACCUUAUUUUGUAGAAAAAGAGGAGUUUUUUUGCCAUUAACAAUUUUGAAAUCAUGUUUGUGAAUCUUCAUUCCACCCGUGGGAUUACACUGAGUUUGUUGUUGUUGUCAGGGGAGGAACCAACAUAUUGUUAGGGGGUUCAACAGAAAUUAUUAGUCCCUCCAUUUCCAAUUAAUUGAAUUGUUAUGGUGUUUCACACCCUUUAACAAAAGAAGAUUAAGACAUUAUUAGGUAUAGCUUUCCAUUUUCACCUUUAUUGAUUAUUGUCAAAUUUAUGAAUAAAAUAACUAAACAUUAAUUAUAUAACUAAUUACAAUACUAACUAAUGAAGGGUAAAAUUGGAAGAACAUUCUAAAAGUAGUCUUGAAAAUAGAACAAUUAAAUUGAUUUGAAAAAUGAAAAAUGUAUCAACAAUUCAAUUAAUUUGAAAUGGAGAGAGUACUAUUUAUACAUGGUUAAAGUUAUUUUUAAUGUAUAUAUAGUAGAUGUCGAAUUUCCUUCAACUUGUUCGUGUGCUUACUUCUUCAUUUUGAACCCCUUAUUGAAAAUUUUGGCUCCAUCACUGGCCUGGUUGUUGUUUGUGAAUCUUCAUAUAACAACUCCGUAUUUUUAGAGUAUUAGAUGCUUCAAAAAAGUGCUUUGUUGACACCAAAUUUUGACCCUAUGCGAUUCGAGUUAAUUAUCGAGCUUCUUCAAUUUCAAACAAUUUGAAAUAAUCGUCUUUGAAAAAAUCCUAAAGAAAUAUAUAUUUUAAAAUCUCUUUCUAAUUAGUUUUGGUUAAUAUUUUUCAGAAAUAAUUAUAUAAUUUUGCAUGUUGGUUUAUAUAAUUCUCAUCUUUUAUAUAAAUAUUUAAUAAAUAGCCUAAAAAUAAUGUUUAGCAUAAUUGUGCAUUUAUUUCUUUGAAUUAGUGAAUUUUAUAAUUUUGUAUAAUUACUUCUCUAUUUUAAAGCAAUAAAUAAGUUUUGAAAAUUAUUUUGUCUUGUUUAAAUUAAGAAGCUCAAAUAAUUAAUCGAUUUAGUUAAUUGACUCAAAUUGAUUAUACCUACUCAAAUUGGUUAAAUUAGCAACUAAAAUGGCCAAUUUUAAAUAAAUUAGUCCAUUCUCUUAAUCCCCACACAUUCCUAGGCCCUCACACGUUUCUUCUUUCUUUUCCAAUUCUCACAUGAUAAUCUCCCCUUCUUCUUCCCAAAGAUGCAAAAGUCAAGCAAGAACUUAAUUUCUUCAUCCAAGCGAUUUUAUUUCCGUCAGCCCCUCUUUAAAUUUCAAAGAUUGUAGACUUUGGGUUAGAUUUUGUUGACUUUGGCUUAGAUAAAAUCUCAUCCAAAUCUCAUCCGAAUCGGAGGAUAUCACAUCGAAUUCAGAUUUUUGGAGGUAUGUUCUUCUCUUACUUGUUUUCUCCUUCCAUUCUCUCCAAUCAAUCUCUCAUUUCCCGCUCAAACGGCUAUUUGAAUUCAAACCUUUAUUUUUUAUUUUUUGCUAUAAAUACAUGGUAUUGGUGACAUUUAGACGGAGACGGAAAAAAAUAGGGGACAAACAGAGGAUUGAAAUUUGAAGGUUGGAGAAUAGUAUUCCCUGAAAUCGAACCCACGAAAGUUUGAGCCUCGGAUUUUCAAUUUUCUUUCAAAUUCUUUGGAUCAUCUGUUGGUGGCAGUCAGUGGUAGUAGGAAGCCCUUCAACUCGUUUGUCUCAGUCGCUAGCCUCAAAAAGGUAAAACCUGUUUCUCUUAUUACUGUUAUGUUAACUUCAGGUGCACCUGGGGUAUUGUAUUUGAAGUUAUGUGUGGUAUUAUAAGUUUUCUCAUCGAGCUCCGUAAUUGUUUCUCUCAUAUUGUUAUUAUAGGAUGAGUGUAUGUUGCCGCUUAUUUCUUGUUUUCGCAUAUGAGUUUGCAAUUCUCUUUCCAAAAUGUGUUAUGUUUCUUUCAUAUUGUUAACUUUCCCUUGUUGUUUAAGAACCUAUAAGGCUGAUUAUUUUUUUUAGGAAUUGUUGUUUGAUUGUUGUAUUAAGAUUUAGUAUCAUAGAUUUAUAUCAAUGUUAGCCUAAUUUCGUGUUAUGGAUAAAUUUAGUUGAGUUCUUGUUCCAACUGCUUAGAAUGCAUUCAGUUUCAAAAAUAAAUAAGUUUCGAUUCGGUUUGUGUCGAAGAUGAUUUUUCUGACUAGAACUGUUACUAUUCUUAUUUUCUGGCCUGCAUAACGGCAUUUUGUUGAAGUUUCAAAUUGCUACACUUGUAUUAGUUAAGUCGUAGUCGCUAUGCAUAUGCAUUAAUAACCAGUAUUCGACGCCAUGUUUUUUCGCUCUCUCAUUCUAAAUAUGGAAAUCACGAUAUACAUAGCUAUUUAAACUAAUUUUGUGUCUUUGUUAUUCUUUGUCCCAAAACUAUUUCACUUGAAUACUGCUAAACCCACUUACUGCUGUUCAUAUGCUAUUAUCACUUAUAAUUUAUCCACUCUUAUAUCUGAUGAAUAAUCUUUGCCAAUGUGCAUACUGUACUCGUCAAAUGCUUGUCAUGUGCAUAAAGUUGUCUUGUUUGUUAAUUCCAUAAAGUAGUAUUGCUAAUGAAUAAUUUCUGCCAGUGCGCAUACUUUACUUGUCAAAUGCUUGCCAUGUGCAUAAAGUUGUCUUGUUUGCUAAUUCCAUAAAGUAGGACUUACUUUAGUGGUCCAUGUUUAUUUUCCUUUUAUAUUUGUUGGAUCUUGUCCAACUCUAAUUCCUCUUCUUUUACUUUUGUUUGAUUUAUGGUAUGUUGGCGGAGUCUUAGUUGGACCCAAUCCCUAUUUCUUGCAUUCUCCGUCUUAUCGAGUCAAUCGCAUAAUUGGAACCAUGUGGAGUUCGAGAAGAGAAUGCAUGUUGUAAGGGAAGCUGAAACAGGUCUCGGAUUACAGAAAAAUGGGUUGUAUACAUUCGAUAUACACUGAUAUACAUCAGAUGUAUACAAAAAUGGGAAUUGAGCUAAGAGCCCAAAUCAGCAACGAGUUUGGCCAAAAAAAGGGCCCAAAUUCAUCUUCUCCUUUAUUCUCUUAGAUUAUUUAGUUGUGAUUAUUUAUUGUUAGUUUUUUUUUUUUAUUAACUCUAACUUUAAAUAACUUAAUUGAACUCCCCAAAGGAUGAACUAUUUUCUUUGUGUUGGCUUUCUUUGUGUUGGUUUAUUUUAAUAAAUUUUAUUUUAUCAACUCUUGCACCCUUAUUUACUUAUUCAAAUGUUUUCUAUUCAAAACUUUCACUUACUUUUAACCAGUUUAAACUGAUUUCUUGGUUUAUCGACUAAAUUAGUUCAAAUUAUUAUGAGUCAAAUAAACUUUAAUUAAUAUGGUUUGUUAAAAUUUUAAUCACUUGCAUUUAAUUCAAAUGUUUCAUUUAGGUCCCUUUCCCUAUAAAAUAAAAUAAAAUGUGUCGUUUAUUUAAUCUAUUUUUUCAAAUUAAUCGAGUAUUGUAAAUAAAUAUUAUUAUUUAUAUAUAUUAAAUCAUUUUCCUAAAAAAAAAUAGUGCAAAAAAUAUUUAACCUAAGUCAUAGGAUAACCGCGUGUUAGCGGGCGCUUCAAAUGUUUUAAAAACCUUCUUGAAGCGUAAAUAAGAAUCUCUUACUCAUUUUUCUCUAAAUUUUGAAUGACUUAAUCUGUUAGAGUUUUUUCAAAUAAAUUUUCUUAAUUUCUUUAAAAAAUUAAAUGUUGACUCUUCUGAGUAUUUUUCUCAAAUUGUUUUAUACUUAUAAUAUUUCAAAAAGUGAUUUGUCUAAAGAUAGUAAAAUUACGACAUAACAAAAAUGGCGACUCCGCUGGGGAUUAAUAGGUUCUAACGAUAACAGAUUUAGGUUAAUUAUUAAGGUUUUUAACAUAUGGUUACUUGUUUGCUUAUUUUACAUGCCUAAUGCUUUAUUUUUCAUGCUUAUUUGUUAUAAACUGCUUAUUUGUUAUUGUUUUUCAUAAAUUGUAUAUUUGUUAUUGCUUUAUAAACUGUCUGGAAAAUUUACACAAUCACACGUACACGCGAUGUGUCUUUCAAAAUUUCAAUUUUUUUUUAGGAGAGUUGGCAUAUGCGCGGGGUGUCCAGAUCUUUUUUCGUGUGACCGCGUAGCCUCCUCAUUCGAGUUGUCCACUCGAGAACCUUGUGUCUAGUAAGCCAAAUAUUAGAAAACAUAACAUAGAGCUAAGCCACCCCUCAAUUUAAGUCAUGCAUGCAUACACCUUAGGUGGAUCGAUCUCGGGUAUCGAUUCCACAUUUAAGAAAUCCACCCUUAUGUCGACGGGUUUCACAACCCAACGACCAACAAACAUGUUUUGUGCAACGUGAUAAUGAUAGAUGGAUCCAAGCCUAAUUUUGACAUAGUGAGUUUGGAAAUUAUGUGUUCAUUCUUGUUAUUUUUUUGAUAAGAUGAAUUUAGUCCUCCAAGUGCCUAAAAUUAGAAUGGUCGAGGGUUUCCCGCGCAAAUUGAAGACCUGGUGAAAAAAUUUAACUCCAAGUGAAAAACUAGCAAUUGCAAGAAGGUUGGAGUGCCUCACUAUGCUAUUCCAAGUUAACCCGGACAAACAUGUGAUUAGAGCGUUGAUUCAGUUUUGGGAUUCAGACCGUGUUGUGUUCGCGUUCAAAGACUUUGAACUAACAAUUAAAUUGGAGGAAAGCUGUUAUUUCACCUGUUUUAAGUAUCGAGAAAGAGGUCAAAUUAUUCCACACAGUCAAUCAGGGUAGAAAUUUCUUCGCUACUUAGGAAUGAAAAAUUAAAAGAAACUUUGAUGCUUCGAACAUAAUUGGAUUUCUCUGGAUUACUUAUAUGAAAGGUAUGGACGCUCGGAUAGUUACAAAGUGUUCAGGAAAGAAUUCUCUUGCACUUAUGUUCAUUGGCAAGCCAGACGUCCUAUCGCAUUUGUUGUGGCUUUACUAGGGACUUUAGUGUUUCCACGAGAACAUGGUCAUAUUAGCACCUGCAUAUGUUUUGUGGCUCGUGUACUUUUUAAAGGUGUUAAUGGCAAAGAACUCACUCUAGUUCCCAUGAUUUUAGUAGAAAUAUUUCGAGCUCUUGGGAAAUGUAAAAGAGGGGAAGCAAACUUCUUUGAAGAUUGCAAUCUUCUUUUACAAAUAUGGGCAAUAGAACAUUUUCACCAGCGUAAAAAUAUGGAUGACAUAUGCUUUAGUAAGGCAAAUCAUAUUGACAGUUUUACGACAUGACGAGAUGGUUUGUGUCUCCGGUUGGUACUGAUGACUGGUAUGGAUAUUUGGCCUCCCGCACCAGUAACCAAAUUCAGUGGAAUUAUCCAUUACUCUCACGUUCCCCAGCCUAUAUAAGAUGCAGUAGGUUUUACUAUAUCGAGCUUAUUGGGUUGAAAGGUCUCCAGCCAUAUGCUCCGGUGCGUGUGCUUCAACAAUUUGGUCAAGCACAAGUAAUCCCUCUUCGAGCAAACAUGAGAGUUUCUGAAAUUUCCUUCGGACCAAACUUUGAAGUCCCUCGAUCCGGAGAGAUUUUUCAUGAAUGGAACAAUAUUCUCACGAUAGAUAUAGGAAAUGGGCCAGAAAGAGAAAUUCCAGAAUAUCAGGUGUGGCUUCGAGAAGAUCGCAAUAGCAUGAGUCCAAAAGGCGAACAAGGUUUUGAGGAUAUUGGGACGACGAUCUGGAUAAGACAUUCUCAUCUUGGAACGGAAGUGGUCACUCCUGAAAUGUGAGCUCAAAUGGAAACUAUAAUGCAAUAUUUGGACAAUGCGGUAGCAGGGCCUAGCAACGUGGGAGCGUCAUCUUCACUUCCUCCACCAGCGUGAUUGAUAACAAAUUUAGGCCGAGUCUUAGAUUUGUCUUUAUAUUGUGUCAUUUUUUUUUAUGUAUUUUUAGUUUAUUCUCUCUUUGUCGUACCAUUUUAUUGGUAUUUAAUAAAUAUUUGGUCUUUGUUUUCCAAACUCGAGUUGUCACAAAUUAAUGUCUUGGAUCAAUCUAUCAUAAUCACAUUAUGUUUGACGUUUAGGCCUACCUCUGGCAUAAAAAUGGUCACAAAUCUAAGGCGCGAUAUAAAUUGUUUGUGUGCUGCUUGAUAUAACUGUUUUGUGUUGUGAUGUGUCAUUUUGUCUAAAGCAGAAUUAAUCCACUUUUGUUUAUUAGAGCACCUUAAGCAUAUAUUAAAAUCCACAACAACAAAGUCCGUCCAAGUUACUCCUGAAGUUUUGUCUAAGUUUCUCAGAAAAUAUAUAAACCCUUUAAAAAACUUCUAAAUUUCCAUCUCUCAAUUUGAGAAAGGUUAGCUUGCUAGAAUGUCUAGAAAAAGUGUUAGCACGCCAAUGCCGACCAUUGAUCUGGUUAGUGUCAAAGAAACCGAAGAAUCAAUGUUUAAAAAAUUGCCAAGACUGAUUCAAACUACGCUUGGCCUGGAUUCCCCGGAAGGAUACAUAGGCAGCCUACUUAAGGCUCGGUCCCUAUCCUGUAAAUUUUUAUCCUCCAUUUUCUUGAAGGAUUCUGAAAGAUUUCACCUAAAAGAUAUGAGUGGAAGAAGUUAGCAAUAAUAUAUACAAGUUGACUUUCUUGAUUCAUUCAAAUGAACUAACCAAAAAAACAAUCCUUCCAUUUGAGUCCUCCCUUUCACCCAAAAUACAUUCGUGGAUUAAUCUGUUUAAAGCAAAAUGACAAUUAUAUGUUUAUUCUUAUAUCAUCUUAUUUGUAUUUCUCAUUAGAAACAAUAACUAACAUAGCUACUUUUGAGUUGUUUUUCAUUUAUCAGGUAACUAGAACUAAUCUGUGUUGAGAAAUUGGCCGAGCAUCCGUACUUCACGAGAUCUAAAGUCCCUAAAGAUUCCUUCCCGGGCCAAAAUCUAUUGAAAGGAAAAAAAAGAUGACUGGAAAUGGUGAGAACAUCGGUUUGAAUGAGAUCACAAUAGUAGACCCUAUCAUUACUGAGCAGAAUGAGUUGAUUGCUCAACUGGCACAACAUAUUGCUGAAAUGAGUGUUGAGAUGCAUAAGACUCGGGAGUUGGCAAAUUUGGCUAUCACUACUAACACUUCUCUUCCAAACAACGAAAGACCUCCACUCCAUUUCCCUACUUCUAAUCCCACACCCGAACAUUUCCCACAAAAUCCACCUAUUGUUCCAGUCCAAAAGGCCCCAACUGUCGAAUUAAACACAACUAACCAACAUCAUGCUAGAUCUUCCUACCAAACACCUCAUCUAUCUCAAAGCCUAAAUUCUCACAACUCUCAAGCAUUUCCUUCCAUGUACCAAACUCCUCCUCAAAACACUUCAAACCCACCUACUACUCAACCCCUACCUACAAAAGCCACUUUCCAUAUUCCAAUCCUCACAGAACCACAUCUUCCAUACACUACAUAUCCCGAACCCGAUCACUAUGAGGAGAAGGAAAAUGAGUGGAGGGUCAAAGAGGAAAUGAAUAAGCAGAGCAUGAAUGAAGAAAUUAUGAAAGCUAUGAAAGAGCAUCAUUACAUUCCAGAUGUUAUAGGGCUAAACUAUGAAGACUUGUGUAUCCAUCCAAACUUGGACCUUCCCGAUGGGUUUAAGGUACCAAAGUUUGACACUUUUGGAAGAACUGGGAACCCCUUAGCUCAUUUAAGGGCAUAUUGUGACCAGCUCGUAGGAUUUGGGAAAAAUGAAGCAUUGUUGAUGCGGCUCUUCAGCCGAAGUUUGAACGGAGAGACCUUAGAAUGGUUCGCCUCCCAAGUUAUGAAGCAAUGGCCUAGUUGGAAUGCUUUAGCUAAAGAUUUUAUUGAGAGAUUUGCUUAUAAUGUAGAGAUCGUUCCAGAUCUAUACUCCUUGGAAAAGAUUAGGCAAAAAUUCACCGAAAACUACCGUGAAUAUGCAUACAGGUGGAGAAAAGAGGCUGCCAGAGUUCAACCUCCCAUGUCUGAAAAAGAGAUCACUGAAGUAUUUCUGCGCAUCCAAGAGCCAGAAUACUAUGAUAGAAUGAUGCUGCUCAUUGGAGCAAAAUUUGCUGAGAUAGUCAAAGUAGGUGAGACUAUAAAAGAUGGUCUUAAGACCGGAAAGAUCGCCCGGGUGGCGGCCCAAGCCGGAUCUUCGGGACUAUUGAGGAAGAAAAGAAAGGAUGUGUAAUUUGUUUCUCAUGCAUAUGAUAGAAGGACAAAGAGAUCGUUUGAAUUUAGCUCUAGAAAAUCUUCACCCUCCAAAGCCUAUCCCCCAGCUCCACAAAAUCCCUACCCAAUCUUCUAUGUCCAACCAAAUUUCCAAACUCCACCUCCUAAUCUCCCAGCUCCACAUUACCAAAAUACCCCUCCAAACUAUCUGACUCCACAAUCAAAUUACCAAACUCAACCAUACCCAAAAUUCCAAACACAAACACUUCCCCGCCAAAAUCCUUUAAAUUACCGUCAAGUACCUCCACCUCCACAAAAUAACUAUGACCUUCCUCGUCCAAAAUUUGAAAGGAAACCUCCCAGAAUUUUCACUUCUCUCAUUGAAAGUCGAACUAAGUUGUUCGAAAGAUUGAAAGCUGCAGGCAUGCUUCAUCCCAUCGAACAUAAACCUGUCAACACAAACUCUAAAUUCUUUAGAGCUGAUCAGAUAUGUGCAUACCACUCCAAUAGUGCAGGGCAUACCACCGAAGAUUGCAUCAACCUGAAGCAUAAGAUUCAAGAUUUAAUUGAUCACAAGGUGGUCACCCUUCAGACUACCUCUCCUAAUGUGCAUUGUAACCCUCUACCAAAUCAUGGGGGAGAUACUAUUAAUAUGAUUGAAAUAGAAGAGGUUUGGAGUGCUGCUAAGACGGUAGUCAUAUCGAAUCUUGACAGUCUUCAGAGGGCUGUAGCCUCUUUAAGCAUAAGCAAGAAGCCCGAGUUCAUGAUAAAAACACCCCAUCAAGCUUUUGUUUUGGGUCCAAAGAAAGGCCUUACUGAGAAAGAGUUUAUGAUAAUGGCACCUCAUCAAGCUUUUACUUCAAUGCCAAAGGAAGGCCUUACCAAAAAAGAUUUUGUGAUCGAGACCGCUAUUGCCCAUAGUAUGACUAGAUCUGGUAGAUGUUAUACACCAGAAGAAUUGGCUCAAGGAGGCCACAAGAGAGACUACCAGAAAAGGCCAAUCAGUGAAGCUGAAGCCGAGGAGUUUUGGCGGAGAAUGCAGCCUAAAGAGUAUUCCAUCAUGAAACAUUUGGAGAAGACAACUGCUCAAUUUUCUGUAUGGGCAUUAUUGAUAAGUUCACAGCAACACAUGAAUGCUUUGUUAAAGGCUUUGAAUGAGAUUCACGUACCAGUGGGGACAAACAACGAUAAUCUCCCAACCAUGGUAAGUAAAUUCAUCGGAGGCCAUCGUGUUAGUUUUAGCGAUGAAGAAUUGCCUUGUGAAGGGGUGAUACAUAACAAAGCCUUGCGCAUCACAAUAAAGUGUCGGGACAAGAUUGUGAAUUGUGUUCUGAUAGAUGACGGAUCUGGACUUAAUAUUUGCCCAUUGUCGACUCUCAAGCAACUGAAUUUUGAUCUUGGGAAGAUUCAUCAGAACCAAGUCAAUGUGAGAGCUUUCGACGGGGGUCAAAGAGAAACAUUGGGCGUUGUUAGUCUAGGUAUUAAAGUAGGACCUGCAGAUUUCAUUGUCGAGUUCCAGGUGAUGGACAUCACCACUAGCUACAACCUUUUACUCGAAAGACCUUGGAUCUAUAUGGCUGGGGCCGUGCCCUCUACCCUCCAUCAGUUGAUGAAGUUUGUAUGGAACGAUCACGAAGUAGUCAUUCAUGGUGAAUGAAGACAUUCGAAUGACUAUGCCCCAAUUGUCGACGAUGUGGCAAGAGGUUCUGACUUCUAUACAGUAGAGAUAGUGAAUGCUACCGAUGAUGAUUUGGCCUCACAUCCCCCUAUGCCUUCCAUUUACAAAAUGAUAGACACUUUGAUGUUGAGAAGUGCAUUUGAACCUGGUUUUGGAUUAGGAAAAUAUUUGCAAGGUAUCACUGAGCCUAUUCAAAUUUUCACAAAAGGUUCAAAGUUUGGCUUGGGAUACAUCCCAAUAGCAGAUGAUGAGACGGGAGCUUCGAGUAACAAAGUGGUUGAUUGGGAAUUAGCAAAACCGGUACCUCACUUAUACCAAUCUUUUCCAGUACAAGAAUAUGUCAAUAAUGAUGGCCUCAGGGAGGGAAUCGAGAAUCUUUUUGAAGAAUCUAAUGUUGUGCUUGAGGAGAUGAUCGAGACAUCUGGCAUUCGAGAUGCCACACCAGAAGAGCAAGUGCCUAAUUGGACAUCCACACAACUCUUGGUUCCUCACUCGUCUUGGUAGACAAAGACAUAUCUAUUUUACUUAUUUCUAUAAUCGGUGGUAGUCUGAAUGAGGCCUAAGACCCACCUUUUAUGUCGUUUUACCUCUUUAAGCUUUAAUUUCCCUCGUGAUGUUUAAAAAGGCAGAUUGGCCUAUGGUCAUGGCCAAAGUUUGUACUUUCUUUUAAUCUAAAUGAAAGCCUCCUUUAUUUAUUAAAUCUAUUUAUUCAAAACUUACUAAUUUGUUUUACACUUUUUUUUUAUCUGACAUGGCUUAUUUAUGAUUUCAGUAAAAAUAACNNNNNNNNNNNNNNNNNNNNNNNNNNNNNNNNNAAGAAACCAGGAUCAGUGUCCAUCUCACAGAAACUCAAAAAGAAGAGCUCAUCAGUUUACUUAAGCAGUACAUCGACGUAUUUGCUUUGUCCUAUGAUGAUAUGCCCGGUUUGAGCUCAUAUAUUGUUUCUCACAAGUUGUCGAUCAAUCCAGAUUUCAGUUUGGUAAAGCAGAAAACUCGGAAGUUCAAGCCAGAUUUGAGUUUGAGAAUCAAAGAAGAAAUUACCAAAUAGAUUCAAGCCAAGGUUGUUGAGGUUACUAAGUAUCCAACUUGGUUAGCCAAUAUUGUUCCAGUGCCUAAGAAAGAUGGUAAAAUUAGAAUAUGUAGUUGAUUAAUAGAGAUCUCAAUAAAGCCAGUCCUAAAGACAAUUUUCCAUUGCCGAAUAUCCACAUUCUCAUUGGCAACUGUGCUAAGCAUGAAAUGCAAUCAUUUGUGGAUUGCUUUGCGGGUUAUCAUCAGAUUUUGAUGGAUGAAAAAGAUGCUGAAAAACGGCUUUCAUUACACCAUGGGGUGUUUAUCAUUAUCGGGUAAUGCCAUUUGGUCUUAAGAAUGCCGGGGCCACAUACAUAAGAGCCAUGACAGCUAUCUUCCAUGAUAUGAUCCAUGAAGAGAUUGAAGUAUACAUGGAUGACUAAUCAUCAAGUCCUGCAAGAAUUCAGAUCACUUGACCCAUUUGAGAAAGUUCUUUGAUCGGUUGCGUCAAUACAACUUGAAGUUGAAUCCCGCUAAAUGUGCUUUUGGAGUACCUGUUGGUAAAUUAUUGGGUUUCAUAGUUAUUAGAAGAGGCAUUGAGCUUGAUCCUACCAAAGUCAAGGCGAUUCAGGAUUUACCGCCUCCGAAGUCUAAGAAAGAAGUUAUGAGUUUCCUUAGAAGAUUGAACUACAUCAGUCAAUUUAUAGCUCAAUCCACGGUAGUUUGCGAGCCCAUCUUUAAGUUGUUGAAAAAAGAUGCACUAACGGUGUGGACCGAAGAGUGUCAAAAAGCUUUCGAUACUAUCAAAGAUUAUUUGACAAAUCCACCAGUAUUGGUACCUCCGCGAGAAGGAAGUCCAUUGUUACUAUACUUGUCCGUCUCAGAGAAUGCAUUCGGGUGUGUAUUAGGACAACAUGAUGAAACUGGAAAGAAGGAAUGCGCGAUAUACUAUCUUAGCAAGAAGUUUACUCCAUAUGAGGCUCGGUACACUCUAUUGGAAAGAACAUGUUGUGCUUUGACUUGGAUCGCCCAAAAGCUGAGGCAUUAUUUGUCUUCAUAUACUACAUAUCUUAUUUCCAAGAUGGAUCCAUUGAAGUAUAUUUUCCAGAAAGCUAUGCCGACUGGAAAAUUGGCGAAAUGGCAGAUGCUUCUGAGCGAGUUUGACAUUGUGUAUAUUACUCAAAAAGCGGUAAAAGGACAAGCAUUGGCCGAUCAUCUUGCAGAAAAUCCAAUCGAUGAAGAAUAUGAACUGCUCAAAACAUACUUCCCUAACGAAUAUGUGUUGUUCAUAGGAGAAAGCAUUUCUGAGUCAUACCCUGGUUGGAGGGUAUUCUUUGAUGGAGCGGUGAAUUAUAAUGGAGCUGGAAUUGGAGCGGUUCUAAUAUCGAAAUCCGGUCAACACUACCCUGUGGCGGCUAAACUUCGAUUCCAUUGCACCAAUAAUAUGGUAGAAUACGAGGCUGCGUUAUUGGCAUAAUGUUAGCCAUCAACAAAAAUGUCCAAGAGUUGCUAGUAAUUGGAGAUUCAGACUUGUUAAUUCACCAGGUUCAAGGGAAAUGGGCCGUGAAGAAUCCAAAGAUUGUACCAGAUGUACAAUUGGUGCAAAGAUUGUGCAAAAGAUUUCGAAAGAUAGAGUUUAUGCACACUCCAAGGUUCCAAAAUGAAUUUGUUGAUGCUCUUGCCACUAUCUCCUCUAUGAUCAAGCAUCCAAAUCAGAAUUACAUUGAUCCUUUGGAGAUAGACUUAAGGGAACAACCCGCUCAUUACUCGCAUGUCGAAGCGGAACCAGACGGAAAGCCGUGGUAUUAUGAUAUAAAAGUACCUGGAGACUGUGAUUUAUCGAGAAGAUGCGACAUCCAAUCAAAAGAAGGCAAUACGUCGCUUGGCUAACAAUUUCUUUCCAAGUGGGGAAAUCCUUUAUAGAAGGACUCUAGAUUUGGGACUCCUCAGGUGCGUAAAUUCUAUUGAAGCUACAAGACUUUUGGAGGAAGUACAUGCUAGAGUUUGUGGACCUCAUAUGAACGGGCUUACCUUGGCAAAGAAAAUCCUUCGAGCUGGUUAUUUUUUGAUGACUAUGGAGCACGAUUGUUGUAGAUUUGUGCAAAAGUGUCAUAAAUGUCAAGUACAUGGUGAUUUGAUCCGAGUACCUCCUCACGAACUUAAUACUAUGGGAUCGCCUUGGCCAUUCGUGGCCUGGGACAUAGAUUUAUUUUGGUUGCCAUUGAUUACUUCACCAUGUGGGUGAAAGCAAAUUCUUAUAAAUUUGUGACGAAGAAGGUAGUAGCUGAUUUCGUUCGUAACAACUUGAUAUGUCGAUUUGGACUACCUGAUUCCAUUAUUAUAGACAAUGGUGCAAACCUCAACGGUCAUUUGAUGAAGGAGAUAUGUGAGCAAUUCAAGAUUACUCACCGAAAUUCGACUGCUUAUCGUCCUCAAAUGAAUGGAGCCGUAGAAGCUGCCAAUAAGAACAUCAAAAAGAUUUUGAGAAAGAUUAUUGAUAAUCACAGAGGUUGGCACGAGAUGUUACCAUAUGCUUUGUUGGGAUACCGAACAACCAUUAGAACAUCAAUCGAAGCAACUCCAUACUUGCUAGUAUAUGGGACAGAAGCAGUGAUACCUGCUGAAGUUGAAAUACCUUAAUUGAGGAUCAUUCAAGAAGCCGAACUGAGCAAUGUUGAUUGGAGUCGUAAUCAGAUUGAACACUUAGCCUUAAUUGAUGAAAAGAGGAUGACCGCUGUUUGUCAUGGCCAAUUAUAUCAACAAAGAAUGAUUCGUGCUUUCAAUAAAAAAGUGAGAUCUCGAACAUUUAAAAAAGGACAAUUGGUCCUCAAACGCAUUUUCCCCCAUCAAGAUGAGUAUAAGGGGAAAUUUGCACCAAAUUGGCAAGGACCAUACAUGGUUCGUAAAGUGUUAUCUGGAGGUGCCUUGAUCCUGUCAGAGAUGGAUGGCCAGGAAUGGCCAAAACCAAUCAACUCAGAUGCUGUCAAGAGAUACUACGUCUGAAGAUUAGUUCCUGCUUGUAAUUGCUUAUGUCAAGUUUAUAUAUCCUUGUAUUGAACUACAUUUGACCUGAAUUCUCAAAAAUGAGAUACGUAGGCGGCCUAUCUAGGCCUCGGUCAUUUGCUUAGUAAAAUUUCCUAUUUCUUUUAUUCUCAAGAGAGGAACUACGUUUGACCUGAAUCCUGCCUCAACGGGAUACGUAAGCGCCACAACGGCUCGAUCAUACACCCCAUAAAAUUUCCAUUUCCCUUUAUAAUGGAAACUGGGGCAGAAUUUUUGAGAGGAGCUCAAAAAUUCUAAAGAUUAUUCCUCAGCAAGACAAGAUUGAGCAUGCAUUAGGAAAAGGCAAUUGGGGCAUAAUUGUUGUGAAGAUCUAAAAAAAAAUCCGCAAGUCUUCCUACCAAAGAUUUGAGAAAUGACAAGGCAUUUCAUUGGGGCAGAAUUUUUGAGAAGAUCUCAAAAAUUCCGCAAGUCUUCCUACCAAAGACUUGAGAGAUUCCAAGAAAUUUCAUUGGGGAAGAAUAUUUGAGAAGAUCUCAAAAAUUCUAUCAAGUACUGUCAGAAGGUCAAAGUUAACGACAAGUAAUCUCCAUCAUGAUUAGAGGCUCAUGAACCCAAUAUCUCAGAAAUUCAAAGUCAAGGUUCAAUUAUAUUUUGAUUUCCCCAGCUUAAAAGGGCUUUUAGAUUGGAUAUAUUGAAGUUGAAUUGAAGUGUUCAUUUAAGCUUUAAAGUGACAUGACACUUGGCAGUGACCCUCAUCAAAUUACAUUUCAAAAAUCCAUUUUUCUUAAAACUUUAGACAUAUAUUAAAUAUUUUGUAAAAAAUAUAUAUAUAGAUAUAUCUUAUGACUACCAAGAAGCGGGAAGCUAGAAGCAAUCAACUGAAGAUAGCAAGAGGAAAAGCAAGCGAUCAAGGAAGUCAACACAAAUUAGGUCAUUUAAACCUAACAAAUUUUCUGUGGAUGUCGGUUUGCAAGGAUAUCAAGAGAUCAUCAUGUUCAACAAAUAUGGGAAAGUCAGAAGAGCAAAAGCGCCCAAGACUGACAUUUUUUUUAUGCAGGAAAAGGCAUUGAUAUUCCUGCAAUAAAAGUAGUUAACUUGGUACUUUAAAUAACAAUGUCUUGUUCAUAAUUCUCCACAAAGUAGGAGCCACAACGAAGAUACAAGUGAUCAAAGAAAAAGUAGGUGAAAGCACCGAGAGGGUGGCACUUUAAGAUGUACAAAUGACUAUAAUAACGUCAUAUUGCAUUUUCCAGCGUCAAAGACGUUUGAAGUGCACACGUAAAACACAUCAAUUAUCGGAGAGAAUUUGAAGUGCAACUUGCCAAAAAUAUUCAUUAUCACGUUAAAGUCAAAAGAGGCUAACGUUGAAGAAUAUUUGUAAGUCACAUCAAUACCAGAUACAACGAUGUGCAUUGCCGAGAGGGCCAUCCAUAUUAUAUUAUCAGAGGUGAUAAUAUUAUUGCCGAGAGGGCCAUCAAUAUUAUAUUACCAAAGAUAGUAAUAUCAUUGCCGAAAGGGCCAUCAAUAUUAUAUUAUCAGAGGUGAUAAUAUCAUUGCCAAGAGGGCCAUUAACAUUAUGUUACCAGAGGUGGUAAUAUCAUUGCCGAAAGGGACAUUGCAGCUUCCGUUGCCAAGGGGCCAUCAUAUUCAGACUGCCAAGAGGGCCAUCAUAUUAGAACCGCCAAGAGGGCCAUCAUAUUCAGACCGCCAAGAGGGCCAUAAUAUUCGAACCGCCAAGAGGGCCAUCAUAUUCAAACCGUCGAGAGGUCCAUUGCAUAUCCAACUGCCGAGAGGGCCAUUAUAUUCAAACCAUCAACAUAUUACAUUAGCCUAUUUGACUACUUCAAUAUUAAAAGAAGAGUAUAGUGAAGAUCCAUGGCGCAAAUAUGAUAUACAUGCUUUAUUUGCUUUACGUCAAACUGAAAGAAGUUGACGUCAAAUAUUCAAGGAGAACAAUUAAGUGCCAACAUGGUAAAUGACACUAUCUCUCCAUUUGAAUUAUAUUUUACACUAAUGAGUUUUAUCUCAGUCUNNNNNNNNNNNNNNNNNNNNNNNNNNNNNNNNNNNNNNNNNNNNNNNNNNNNNNNNNNNNNNNNNNNNNNNNNNNNNNNNNNNNNNNNNNNNNNNNNNNNNNNNNNNNNNNNNNNNNNNNNNNNNNNNNNNNNNNNNNNNNNNNNNNNNNNNNNNNNNNNNNNNNNNNNNNNNNNNNNNNNNNNNNNNNNNNNNNNNNNNNNNNNNNNNNNNNNNNNNNNNNNNNNNNNNNNNNNNNNNNNNNNNNNNNNNNNNNNNNNNNNNNCCACAUUCAUGGCUAAGAGGUUGCAAGCCUCUUUUUCAUACUCGACUUACUUGUCACUCUUCCAGAACCGAAGGUUAUCUAGCAUAAUAGAUUUUCUUUUUAACCGAUCGAGUCGAACUACAAAUAGCAUGAUUCCUAAGGUUUAAGGAUAUGUAGGCGGGCUCAAUGUUGAAAACUCGACUGUAUUCGACAUUCUCUCUCAAAUCUUAUUCUCGAGCAUUCUGGUCUCUUCAUAAUUUGAUAUCGGGAUAGCUUUCUCAUUCAUAAUCGUGUGUCAAAUCAAGUUUAUCGAACUACAAGUGGCCUGAAUUCUCAUAUAGCCUGAGAUAUGUAGGAAACCCGAUAUCGGGGUUCGGCCAUAAUUCCUAAAGUCUGUACCAAAAUACUUUUUGAAGAGAUGAAAUGGGGUCGAUCAAAAUUGGAUUUGUCAAUCUUCUUUGCCCAGAUUCUCUUUCAUCGACCCUACCCAAAGAAGGGGGCAGUUGUUGACACCAAAUUUUGACCCUAUGCAAUUCGAGUUAAUUGUCAAGCUUCUUCAAUUUCAAACAAUUUGAAAUAAUCAUCUUUGAAAAAUCCUAAAAAUAUAUAUAUUUUAAAAUCUCUUUCUAAUUAGUUUUGGUUAAUAUUUUUCAGAAAUAAUUAUAUAAUUUUACAUGUUGGUUUAUAUAAUUCUCAUCUUUUAUAUAAAUAUUUAAUAAAUAGCCUAAAAAUAAUGUUUAGCAUAAUUGUGCAUUUAUUUCUUUGAAUUAGUGAAUUUUAUAAUUUUGUAUAAUUAGUUCUCUAUUUUAAAGCAAUAAAUAAGUUUUGAUAAUUAUUUUGUCUUGUUUAAAUUAAGAAGCCCAAAUAAUUAAUCGAUUUAGUUAAUUGACUCAAAUUGAUUAUACCUACUCAAAUUUGUUAAAUUAGCAACUAAAAUGGCCAAUUUUAAAUAAAUUAGGCCAUUCUCUUAAUCCCCACACAUUCCCAGGCCCUCACACGUUUCUUUUUUCUUUUCCAAUUCUCACGCGAUAAUCUCCCCUUCUUCUUCCCAAAGACGCAAAAGUCAAGCAAGAACCUAAUUUCUUCAUCCAAGCAAUUUUAUUUCCGUCAGCCCCUUUUUAAAUUUCAAAGAUUGUAGACUUUAGGUUAGAUUUUGUUGACUUUGGCUUAGAUAAAAUCUCACCCAAAUCUAAUCUGAAUCGGAGGAUAUCACAUCGAAUCCAGAUUUUUGGAGGUAUGUUCUUCUCUUACUCAUUUUCUCCUUCCAUUCUCUCCAAUCAAUCUCUCAUCUCCCGCUCAAACGGCUAUUUGAAUUCAAACCUUUAUUUUUUAUUUUUUGCUAUAAAUACAUGGUAUUGGUGCCAUUUAGACGGAGACAAAAAAAAAUAGGGGACAGACAGAGGAUUGAAAUUUGAAGGUUGGAGAAUAGUAUUCCCUGAAAUCGAACCCACGAAGGUUUGGGCCUCGGAUUUUCAAUUUUCUUUCAAAUUCUUUGGAUCAUCUGUUGGUGGCGGUCAGUGGUAGUAGGAAGCUCUUCAACUCGUUUGUCUCAGUCGCUGCCCUCAAAAAGGUAAAAACCUGUUUCUCUUCUUACUGCUCUGUUAACUUCAGGUGCACCUGGGUUAUUGUGUUUGAAGUUAUGUGUGGUAUUAUUAGUUUUCUCAUCGAGCUCUGUAAUUGUUUCUCUCAUGUUGUGAUUAUAGGAUGAGUGUGUGUUGUCGCUUAUUUCUUAUUUUCGCAUAUGAGUUUGCAAUUCUCUUUCCAAAAUGUGUUAUGUUUCUUUCAUAUUGUUAACUUUCCCUUGUUGUUUAAGAACCUGGAAAGGUUGAUUAUUUUUUUUAGGAAUUGUUGUUUGAUUGUUGUAUUAGGAUUUGGUAUCAUGGAUUCAUAUCAAUGUCAGCCUAAUCUCGUGUUAUGGAUAAAUUUAGUUGAGUUCUUGUUCCAACUGCUUAGAAUGCAUUCAGUUUCAAUAAUAAAUAAGUUUCGGUUCGGUUUGUGUCGAAGAUGAUUUUUCUGACUAGAACUGUUACUAUUCUUAUUUUCUGGCCCGCAUAACGGCAUUUUGUUGAAGUUUCACAUUGCUACACUUGUAUUAGUUAAGUCGUAGUCGCUAUGCAUAUGCAUUAAUAACCAAUAUUCGACGCCAUGUUUUUUCGCUCUCUCAUUCUAAAUAUGGGAAUCACGAUAUACAUAGCUAUUUAAACUAAUUUUGUGUCUUUGCUAUUCUUUGUCCCAAAACUAUUUCACUUGAAUACUGCUAAACCCGCUUACUGCGGUUCAUAUGCUAUUAUCACUUAUAAUUUAUCCACUCUUAUUGCUAAUGAAUAAUCUUUGCCAAUGUGCAUACUGUACUCGUCAAAUGCUUGCCUUGUGCAUAAAGUUGUCUUGUUUGUUAAUUCCAUAAAGUAGUAUUGCUAAUGAAUAAUUUCUGCCAGUGUGCAUACUUUACUUGUCAAAUGCUUGCUAUGUGCAUAAAGUUGUCUUGUUUGCUAAUUCCAUAAAUUAGGACUUACUUUAGUGGUCCAUGUUUAUUUUCCUUUUAUAUUUGUUGGAUCUUGUCCAACUCUAAUUCCUCUUCUUUUACUUUUGUUUGAUUUAUGGUAUGUUGGCGGAGUCCUAGUUGGACCCAAUUCCUAUUUCUUGCAUUCUCCGUCUUAUCGAGUCACCGCAUAAUUGGAACCAUGUGGAGUUCGAGAAGAGAAUGCAUGUUGUAAGGGAAGCUGAAACAGGUCUCGGAUUACAGAAAAUGGGUUGUAUACAUCCGAUAUACACUGAUAUACAUAAGAUGUAUACAAAAAUGGGAAUUGAGCUAAGAGCCCAAAUCAACAACGAGUUUGGCCCAAAAAAGGGCCCAAAUUCAUCUUCUCCUUUAUUCUCUUAGAUUAUUUAAUUGUGAUUACUUAUUGUUAGUUUUUUUUUNNNNNNNNNNNNNNNNNNNNNNNNNNNNNNNNNNNNNNNNNNNNNNNNNNNNNNNNNNNNNNNNNNNNNNNNNNNNNNNNNNNNNNNNNNNNNNNNNNNNNNNNNNNNNNNNNNNNNNNNNNNNNNNNNNNNNNNNNNNNNNNNNNNNNNNNNNNNNNNNNNNNNNNNNNNNNNNNNNNNNNNNNNNNNNNNNNNNNNNNNNNNNNNNNNNNNNNNNNNNNNNNNNNNNNNNNNNNNNNNNNNNNNNNNNNNNNNNNNNNNNNNNNNNNNNNNNNNNNNNNNNNNNNNNNNNNNNNNNNNNNNNNNNNNNNNNNNNNNNNGAUAACCGCGUGUUAGCGGGCGCUUCAAAUGUCUUAAAAACCUUCUUGAAGCGUAAAUAAGAACUUCUUACUCAUUUUCUCUAAAUUUUUAAGGACUUAAUCUGUUAGAGUCUUUUCAAAUUAAGUUUUCUUAAUUUUUUAAAAAAAUUAAGUGGUGACUCUUUCUAAGUAUUUUUCUCAAUUUUUUUUUAUAUUUAGAACAUUAUAAAAAGUGAUUUUUCUAAAGAUAGUAAAAUUACGGCAUAACAUGCUCUACUUUGUUUUGUUGCAACUUGAAAAAGUAAUGACAAAAUGAAUUGUCUUUAGUGCACAUUAAUGGUUCUGCUGGAAAUACAACAUGGACUCUUUCAUUUUUUGUAAUCCAUUAAAUGUUGUGAUGAGAAUAGUGAAAAUCUCUUGUUGGAGACUGAACUCAUCCUUCCCAUUUCAUUUUAUAUAUGUAAGUGUUUGAAUAGAUAUGUUCUUCAUACAAACAUAUCAACAUGUCUUAUAGUGCUGAAAAAAUUGAAGGUAGUGAUGAUCUUUUAACCAAGAUUUUACUACUCCUUCCUGCAAGGCCUCUUUUCAGGUUCAAACUUGUUUCGAAAUGUUGGAUGUCUCUCGUCUCCGAUCCCUGUUUUUCUUCUCUCUGGAAGCCUGAAUCUUUUCCAACUGCACUCAUUCUGCAGUCGCCUUUUCUCGAUUAUCCUUGUUAUUGCAUUCCUGAUAAAACAAAAUAUAAAGCUUCUAUUAGAUUCUUUGAUUUUAUAAUCAAGACAAUCCCUUUGACAAUGUUGUAAUUUUGAAUUGUUUUGGUGGUUUACUUCUUUGUCGUAAGCGGUUCUUCGAUUACAUUGUGUGUAAUCCAACUACAAAGGAAUUCCAUACUCUUUCAAGACCAAAUGUGGAGUCACUAAACAUGAGUUUGACUUUUGAUCAUUCGAUAUCGCCUCAUUACAGAGUUAUAAAUGUUGGGUUCCAUUCCUUGAUUCAUAAAGAUAGUUUUUGGCAUUGUCUCCCUAUUGAAAUAUACUCUUCAGAUACCAACUCAUGGAGGCGAUCACGAGUCCAGUUUCCAAAAGCAUUUUUGAGCUAUUUGGGACAAUGUAAAGGAGUUUUCUUCAAUGGAGCUAUCUUUUGGAUCUUUAAAGGGGUAAAUAGCUUUUGUUAUUUUGAUAUUGAUAAGGAAAUUCUCCACUCUUAUCAAUUGCCUAAAAUGAAUGAACAGUAUUACUGUGGAUGCGUCCACGGGAAUUUACAUCUGGUUGUCUCUUCAGUCAGUGAUCCACAUCAUAUUAAUGUCUUUGUAUUGGAAAAUGAAUACUCUUCUUGGAGCCUAAAGUAUUGCGUUGAUCGACGUGAACCAACUUCAUGUGCAAUUCGAGAAAUGAUUUGUAGUUGUCCGGGACUUAGUUCUCUUGAGUUUACGUUUGCUGUGCUUUCUCUUAUAACAAGUGAAGGGAAUAAUCAGUUACCAUAUUUGGUUCUUUACAUGCCUUGUAAAGCUGAGUUAACAGUAAAAGGUAGGACUUGUGAGAAGUUGCCAUUACCGUCAGUUGAUCAUUUGUUCGACAAUCCAUUCUGGAUAGGAAGCAAAUUAAAAUGAGUAACAUAGACCAGUAGAUAUAUAGGGAUGUGUCUAUCACUUUAGUUGCUCAAUCUUAGUUGUAAUCAAUCAAAAUGUAGCACUUCAGGCAUAAAAAUCUUUGUUUUGGGGUCUGUUUUUUCACUCUUCUUCUACAUAAUAUUAGCUUUGACUCAAAUUAAUUUCCAUUAGAUGGCUGUAGAGAUUUUUUAUCUUCUUGAGGAUAAGUUGGUCUAGGAUUAUUUACUUUGAAUCAUUCUGGGGGUCCUGCCUACUUUCCUAGCUACUUUUUCUAGAUAAUUUUCUGGUUUGUUAUUUUUGUUGAUGACUAUAGUUGAUGAUAAUUGAUACCCGAUGAACGAUAUGUUUGCUAUGUAUCACUGUUUCUGCUUAUUUCAUUGAUAAGAUUCUAUUUUCUGCAAAGAGUGAUAUUUAUCAGAACGGAUACUAGUAGACUUUUCGUUGAUAAGGUGUUGCAGUCUUUAGUCCUAGUGCUGUAUUCUGCACUUUUACAACUCAAAAUUGGUGUGUCCAAAAGGACAAAUCUUCAUAUUCUCGAACAAUGCACCUCUAGUAGUAUACUUUGGAAUAUCUGUAGAGAAAACUUCUGCUUGUCAAUAUCCCAUCCCCUUAAGUUUGGCUCCUUAGCUGCUACGUGGUUUCAGACUAAGAGUAAAACUUUAAUUGUACAAGUCGUUUUAUACCUAUUGCAUAGCUCGAGUUGCUUGUUAACUUAAAUGUUGUCUGGCUUCAUCUGGAAACAAUCAAACUCCUAUCUUAACUUUAAUUUAAUUUUAUAACUUUACUGAUACAAGGGUAAAGUUCAGCAACCAUACGCGAAACUAUAGGCAACAUGAAGAUGCACUAUACUCAAAAACCAAAUAAAACAUAUGAAAACAAACAAUUUUAUGAGUUUACUAAUACAAGAGGAAUGCAAAUACAAAUGAUUCAAACACAACACAAAGACUCAAUAUACUCAAAAGCACCAAUUGUACUACAAUAAAAAACUCAUUCAUCGUCAACAUCAUAAUCACAGAAUUUCUCAAAGGUCUUGUUUAUAAGAUUGUACUUCAUUACCUUAUCAUCAUAAACAGCUGCCAGAACCAAAAAUGCAUCCUCUUCUCGUUUACCUCGAACCAGAGAUAAUAUCGUAAAAUUACAAUAAUUCAACUCAUGAUCAGGAUGUUCAAAAUCAACCUUGUACUUAACAAACCAUUCAGAAUCAUCCCUUCUCAUCUCUUAUACAUCAAAUCGAAUUGUGUAGAAUGAAAUUUUUGUGAGGUGCAAAUGGCCACAAGAUUCACCAAAAUAUGUUAUAGUUGUUUGUAACACCCGAGAAAUUUUUUGAGCUAAGACUUGAACCAUCCUUCGUAGUGAGUAAGUUUUUUACCAAGGAAUCUAAAUUUUCCUAAGCGUUAAGGUCACUAGAUGUAGCACCUUGAGUUCCAAGAAGAACUAAAGAGAGUUCAUUCAAGUCAUUCCUAAGUUUUUCUUCAGUUUUGGGUCAACUUCAUAUGACCAUAACUUUUAGUACAAGAUGAGUUAGGAGAACCAUAAGAUAUUAAAUUAAAACCCUUCGAGUCCUCUUUCCAACGCCACCGAGUUUGCUAAAUUCCGAGCUCUGAGUAAAAACUUAUCACUGAUUUACUAACGACGCUUAAACCUGGAAGCAGCUCCGCGAUGACUCCGUGUUACAGAGCCAAUACGGACCUCACUGCCUGGUGGAAAAUUAUUCCGACUCCCAGCUCGUUUUAAUUAUUUCUUUAAGGGUAUUUUAGUCCUAAAAACCCUUAGGAGGUCAUCUAAAUUGCCCUAAACGUGUAGAAAACCAGUUUUCAUAAAUCAAACCCUCUCAUCCACUCCAAAAUUCUACGCUCAAGGAAUUCAAGAAAACGCUAAGGCUAGGGUUCUUCUUUCAAGAUUUUCCUUCAAGUUCUUCAAGAAGAUGGUUCUUUCAGGUAUGUAAGCUUCCCUAGUGUUGGGUUUGUUCACCCACACGCCAAUCAUGUUUAUUUCAGCGUUAAGUUCGUUCUAGAAAGUUGAAAGUAUGAUGUUCUUGAAAUUGACUUUAGUUCUUGAGUUUAGAUGAGAUUAUUGAGAUCUUGAUGCAUUCAUGUCGAUUUUACAGUUGUUUAUGAGUAGGCUCUUGUGUUCAAUGUGUUGGGGUAAUCUAAAAUCUAAAGAGGAAAUUGAGAAAAAGAACCGAGUUUAGGUAAAAUUGGGGUUAGAAAACGAAGAGGAAAAAGUCAGGCGAAUCUAGCACCUUGCUCCGCGUUGCGGACCUGCCUCCCCAUUUCAUAACGUUUGUCUUCGCGUCGCGGAGAGUUCAUUGGAACCUCUCUGCCUCAAAAGUUAAUUCGCGACCAAAUAUUUUAAUUCAUCUUCGUGUCGCGGGCUUGCUUCCAGACAGUGAUUUCUUGAUUGUUUUUCAUUAUAACUAUCUAAAAACACUCCUAAACAUCACGAGAUCAUUCCUAUCACAAAUCAAAAUCUUGAAUUCAUAAAUCACAUUCAAGGUAGAGUUGAGAGUCAAGUCUUGAGAGUUCUCUCAAGCAUUUUUGAGAAAGUCCCUUUGAGUCCUUUGAGGAGUCUUCUACUGUCACGCCUCGAGACUACCCCCGAGAUGCGUACACGGGACCUAGGACCACAAGUGAUCCCAAGCUAACCCUGUUGGCAUGAUCAUGAGCAUACUAAAGAUAAUAAACUGAUGCGGAAGCUAAAUCAUAAAUAAAUGAAAAGAUGGGGAAUACCCAUAUACUAUAACUGAGAUAUAUGAAAACUUAUCAGUAUAAUACAAAGAAUAUAUUAACUCUACUGAGCUGAAUCUAACUAUGUCUGAAAAUAGCCUCUAACUGACUAGAAAUGCUGGGACAGGCCCCAGCUAAGUCUAGCAAAACUGAAACUAAAGGACUAAAAAUACUGAAAAGAAACUCAUGACUAUUGUCCUCGGAGAAUGAGGACUCACCACUGAUUCUGCUGAACUGGAGAUCGGGAACCGAUCUAAGCGUGAUCUGGAUGCUGAGAACCUGAACCUACAUCACGAGAAGAUGUAGCGCAGAGUAUGCGUCAGUACUUGAAAGGUACUGAGCAUGCAAGAUAGAAUACAACUGAAAUAACAUAUAACUGAACAAAGCAAAUAAGUAAUGAUAUAAUCUGAACAUGAUAUUUAUACUGAAUGUUGAGAUAACUGAAUGCAAUGACCAAUUUAUAACAUGCUGAAACUGAAUACUAGAUAUAUUGAUAAAUAGACAAUGCAAUAGAAUCUGACUGAACUGUGGGAGCUACUAAUAACCGACAAUAAAACCACAUGAGCUAAAUGUGGAGUCCGAUGUAUACGCCCCAUCGAGAGGACCUAAUAUACCCUGCCAGAGGUAUACAGGCAUGUUGGCGUGAUCACUGAAAUUAUGCCCACAUAGGGGACUUACAACCUACAUGGCUAGUAGUUCUGGGACUAUUUGGGUACGCUGAACCCUAGUCCAACUCGGUAUUAUGCUACUCCCAAUGGAUUAAGUAAUUAACACAUUAUGACUGAAUUUAUGUAAGUUACUGGAUAGCUCAAACUGAACAUGCAAACUGAAAAUGCAACAAUUAAACUGAUAUUAAUGCAUUAAUAAUUGAGGCAUGUACAACUGAAUAACUGAAAUAUCUGACCUAGCAUGUGUAAUUCAAGAACUAAAGAAAUACAUAGCUAGGGUUCUGGAAUUCAUGCAUUAAACUGAAUAUUAACGUACUAAUCUGAUUUGGAUAAUUCUAACAACUAAGAACCCAAUAAUUCUAACAUUCAAGAAACCCUAGGUCUAGUCAUAAUAAGGGAAUCAAGAAACUGACUGAAAAUUAGGGACCUAAUGGGUGAAAGAAACCCACUAGUGAAAUUCCACAUACCUGUGACGAAUUCCACGGAGAAAUAUUUAGAUUUCGGGGCUGGAAUUGAUGGAACCUUGUUGCGUUCUUGAAUUAGGGUUCUUGACUUCUCUUCUCUUCUUACGCUCUAAUUUUUCUAAGUUUUGAUUAAUGGUUUGGCUUGCGUAAGUUCUAGUUAUGUUUCUAGGCUUAAACUGACUAAAUCCUCAUAAUUUAGGGUCUAAACGAGAUAGCUUAGUGGUCCAACAAAAUAGGAAAAGACCAAAAGACCCCUGACUUAACUGCUGUCGGAGUGAUCGACGGACGGGACCUACGGGCCGUAGGUCAAUCUACGGUCCGUAGGUUGGAGUCGUAGGUCAAGUCUGCCCAACAGGGCUUCACUAAAAUGAACAUAACCUUUUACUCGAAGAUCGGAUUUUAGCAAACUCGGUGGCGUUGGAAAGAGGAUUAAAUUAUCUAUCAUAUCAUAGGUCAUGGGACACAUAAUUCCUUUUGUGCUAAGAGUUAUGACCAUUUGAAGUUGACCCAAUCAAUAAUUUUCAUCUAACUGGCUGCUUACCCUCACCUACGGUCAGACCUACAGACCGUGGAUCGAACGACGAUCCAUGCUGGUCGGCCGUCAUUUGCGUCAGAGGCUGGGUAAAGGGGGCCUCGAUCCACGGACACAGACCACAGACCGUGGUCUGACCUACGGAUCGUGGGUCUGUCCGUAGGUCGAGACUUAGCCUAUUUUCUGAGCUGGGCUUGGGGAGGGGUUGCAGUGGUGAACCACAGACCACCACCAUGGACUGUGGUCUGACCUACGGUUCGUGGAUGGCAACUGUGGGUUGCACCUGCAAGUUCUCAAAAUCUGCAUUUUUGGUCUGUUUCGGAUACGGGGUGUUACAUCUACAACUUCUAAUAACUUGUUUUAAGACUCGAGUAAGUGAGCAUGAGAGUGAGGAGAAUGUAUUCAUGAGUCUACACUAUCACCUAGAUCCUUCAUAUCAUGAACCAUAACUCUUGAAUUCAUAAUUCACAUCCAAGAGAGAGUUAAGAGUAGAGUUCAAGAAAGUCUUUGAGUUCAAUUGUGAAUCCUUUGAGAUUCAUCAUCGAUUUGAGUUAAGUUUUGAGAAGUAAGUAUGAGAAUGAGAAGAGUCAUAUACCUGAGUUCCUUAUUGAUAUUUUGACCUUGAGUCAAGUCGUUCAUGCCCAUAACUUCCGCAUGAACUCCAUCAUUUUAGUAUCUUUGAAAAUGAGUAAUAUCUUCAAGUUCUAAGUCUUGAGUAUCGAGUUCCUAACCCUUCCGAGAUUAUAAUCCUAAUCAUGGGACUAUUACGUAUUACCCAUGAAGUCUAUGAGUUGAGUUGUUCAUGCCCAUAAUUCCGCAUGAACAUUAUAAGUCGAUCAAUCUUGAGAUGAGAAGUAGCUUUGAGUCCUUGAGUUGAGUAGUUCAUGCUCAUAGUUCCGCAUGAACCCUCUGAGUUGAGCAUUCUUGAAAUUAGUAGUAUCAUUGAAGUUCUUGAGUUCCAAGCAUUGAGAUCUAUCUUUGGUUAUUGAAACCCGUGCAUCGAGUCGUUCACGUCCAUAAUUCAGCAUGAACCAUAUUUUAAGAAGUCUUUUACAAAUGUUUUAACUUUGUUUUAAGACUUAAGUUUUGAGUUCAGUAAAGAGUAAAAGUUGAAGUUCAUUUCUUCAAAAGUAAAUGAGGACUAUAUAUUCCCAAAAGAGUUUAAAAUGUUUUCACAUUUAAAUAAGAACGGAAAACCGAGAUUUUCUAAAGAGCCUUUGAGCUAGUUUUUCAGUAAAGAGUCUUUGGGCUAGUUUUAAGUUAAAGAGUAAAUGCUUUCACAAUAAAGCAAGAGAGGAAACCUUGAUUUUCAAGAUAGCCUUUGAGCUAAGUUUUGAGCAAUUAUCUCAAAUCACAGAAAGAAAUAUGUUUUAAACAUAAAAAGCUAGUAUCAUAUUUUUGGAGUAGUACUGAGCACCGAUAUGGGGACGAUCUUGAAUUCAGAUAACUCACGUCUCCAUAAACUAUGUAGCCAUCAUGGGUAGAAAAUGGUCAUACUUUUUAGAUGAAUCUUUUUUCUCAUAGACUAGUGGAUCCACUUAGUAAUUUAGGUCUUAUACCCCUGGCAGGGUAUAGCAUGUGCUGGCAGUAUGAGGAAGAUCGUAUUGUGUCCAUACCGGCAUCAAAUAUUAGUUUGAAUUCCUGGUUAUUCAUGAGGGCAGAUCCGCCACUAAAUCUUUGUCUAAUCCCAUUGUUAAAGAUAUCUUUGUGAAGAAUACUAAUAGGUCUGAAUACAAUUUUUUCUACCUUAUUUAGAAUUUGAAAUUGAUGAAGUUAAGCGUGAUUUUGAGGAAGUUGGGCUGAUUUUGGGGAAAUUAAGAGAUGUGGGUGGAGAGUUUGAGGAAUGUAUCAGAGAUUAGGAGAGAGAGUGAGGAAAAUAGGGAUUUUUGUAAUAUUUUUAAAUGGUAGGAAGUUUUGGAAAAUAUGAUAAAUUAAGUUGUGUAUUCAAAGUUGAAUCCUAAUUUUAUGAGUAAGAAACAACUAACACUUUUAACUUUCUUAUGGACAGAUGCAAUUGUUUUUUACUGCAGAUGGAAAGAGGAAUGGACAGUUUUUGCUUCUUUAAUCUCAGAGCUCGCACUACUUACUAUCUUUCUUAUAACUGUUGGGGUUCUAUAUCGAAUGAGGACAAAGGUGCUAGGUAAAAAGAAUCACCUUGCGCUUGUAUUAUAUUAUUUUCAUAGUUCUUCAUUACAGUCUAAGCUUAGUUUCACUAGAGCACUAUUAUUUAGCAAACACAUGACCUAAGUAAGAUAGCUAGCCUAAUACUCAUAUUAAGGUAUGGUUCACAUCCAUUUAUUUUCUGAUUAAUUUGCUUUCUCAAAAUAAUAUCUUUAUCUGAGCAGAUGAACCAGAAAUCAAUCAGUCGGCAAAAGCUCAAGGAGCUUUGUUGCAGGGUACUAAUGUCAUUGCAUAUGAUUCCAGUGAUCUAGCUGCAGCCACUAACAAUUUCUCGCUGGCUAAUAAGAUAGGGCAUGGUGGCUUUGGCAAUGUUUAUAAGGUUAUUAUUUCUUUUCAACAAGCAUGAAUAUGCAUAUUUACAGUAACUCAGACAACAUAAUUAAUACCCAAAUGAUACAUAAUAUCUGUAGGGUGUACUAGAGAAUGGAGUAGAAAUAGAAGUGAAGAAGCAAGACGUGACUUCACGCCAAGGAUUUACUGAGUUCGAGAAUGAAUUCAAGUUAAUAGCAAAGCUACAUCAUCGUAACCUAACCAAGUUGUUAGGAUACUGCAUUAAUGGAGCAGAAAAAUUCCUAGUCUAUGAGUUCAUGGAGAAUAAUAGCCUAGACAAGGUCAUAUUUGGUAUGACAUCUUAAACAACAUUCUUCUUUUUUGCUAUUGUCUGUGUUGUUUUGAUAUUGAAAAGCCAUAAAAGACAGAAAUUUGGGAGUAUUCGAGUGAAAUUGAGUAACUGUUUUUUGUACAUGUCCAGAUCCUGCAAGAAGGGGUACAGUAACAUGGCAAAUACAUAUAGUAGCUGGAAACAAAUGGUAAACAAAUUAUGCUCUUCUUCUGGGAAUACCACUUUCAACAAGAAAACUCUCAAUACAAAAAUGUCUCCCUACUAUUGAGAAGAUGAUAGCAAAUAAAAUGUUGUCUUCUAAGUUGUUGUCAUACAUAAGUAGACUGCAACUAUUGUAGAGUGGCAUGUCAAUGGUGCAACAAUAUGCAAGCCUAAGACAACAAGGACAUUGAAUGUGAUAGAUAUAUAUACAUGGAACAAGGCGGAAAUUGUAAGCAAUAAGAAGUCACUGACUCUAAUGAACAAGAUUUAUUUUCGAUAUUGUAUCUUAUUCUACUGUACAAUUAACACAAUAGGAAACAAGUCUCUUAUUCCAUUUUUCUUGAAGUUUACUUGUGUGACUGAGAAUAUUUCCUUUUCACAUCAAAAGACCCAUAUAUUGUUAUUUAAUCAGACGUUCAUUAUGUUUUACUUAAAAAAUAUAUAAAAGAAAAAUGACUGAGUUUUCGAAAAAUCGAUUAAACUUAUGGUUUAAGAGAAAUCGAAUUUCCGAAAGGACAGAGUCGCCACUUAAUUUUUAGUAAAAAUCAAGAAAAUACUUAAAGGGUUUCAAUAGACUCAAACAGAUAAAAUCAAUUGAAAAUAAAAAGGUUCGAAGUUCAAUGUACAUUCCAAGAAUGUGUUAGGCCCUCGGAAUUCCCGCUAACUUGCGGUUGACCAGCGAUUUGACUAAAAGUGAUUUUGACUAAUUUUGAAAUUUUAACUAAGUAAAAGAACUCGUAAAGACUUUGACCAAUUUUGAAAUUUUAACUAAGUAAAAGAACCCAUUUAUUUUAACUAAUUUUUUGAAAUUUUGAAUAAGUGAAAGAACUCAUUCAUUUUAACCUAUUUAUUUAUUAUUACUACUAUUAUUAUUAUUAUCAUCAUUUUAAUUAUCUUAAGGGAAAUGGGACUAAAAGGGGAUUUUUCUAAGCACAGUAUAAAAAUAUAACUAUUUUAAUCUAAGUAUGUAAAAAUAAUGAGAAAUGGCCAUCUUUGGAAAUUUAAUUAAAUUAAAUCAAAUCAAAUAAAAGGUUAGAGGUAAAAUAAACAAAAGUAAAUACAAUCAAAUAAUAGAGAGAAAGAGAAAAUAAUUUGGGCCUUUUGGGCCUGUUGCUGCCCAGAACAUUGGGCCAAAAGCUGCUGAUUUUUUGGGCUUUGGCCCAAUUCUUAUUUUGUGUGCGAACAGUAUAUUGCCCGCAUAUCAGCGUAUAUAACUCAGUUCUUUAACUCCCGAGAAUUGUAAUUUUGCUCCCUUUUCGCUGUAAUCCCGCCUUUAAACCUGUAUCACGUAUACCAAAUGCAUAUGGGCUGUAUAUGGCCCUGUAUAUCAGUGUAUAUCAUUGUAUACAACAUGUAUACAACCCAUUUUCGCCUUCCCCGGGGAUCUGAAAUUUCAAUCUCCAAUCCUAUUCGCUGCCUCCAACCUAUUUCGUUACUUUGGCUGACUCGGUGUAGAGGGAAUAUUGAGUUUCGACACCACUCAAGAUGCAAGAAUAGGAGAUGGGAGUUCAUGGUGAACUCGGAUGAAUUUCAUAUAAAAAAAAUAAAUGACAGAAUUAGUAUUUAAAGAAAAAUAUAAAAUAAUAGAAAAUAUUAACAAAUGUUUAUCUUCAUUAACCAAAUAGCUAUACAAAGGAAAGGGAAAUAUUUUUGUAUCUAAGGUGAUGAACAAUAAUGGAGCAAAGAUUCAAUUUCAAAUUCUUUUAUAACUUUCCAGAAACAAAGGGACCAAGUUCAUAUCUUUAAACUACUAACAUCAAACAUACUAAUUCGGUCAACAAUUCUCUAACGAUAUGAAGAGAAAAUCAACAUAACAUAACAAAAUAAACAAAUAAUAGAGAUUAAAUUUGUAUGGACAAAAAGCUUUCCAAGUUCAAUUUAGGACAUCAAUCACGACUUCAUAUGUAAAGCAAAGUAAAGCUUUGGCUUCUCACUAAAUACUCAAUUUUGUUUUAGUUAAGCGGGCUCAUUUUUUAUUUUUUAUUUUUUACAUACUUGAACCAUCACCUUGACAUGAGACAAGAAAAUCAAAGCAAGACAAACGUAUGAUUCGAAAUAAACAUGAAAGUUGAGCUUAAGUAGUUACAAGUUCAAAUUUAGCCUAAGACAAAGAGUGACAUAAUUUUGAACGCAGAUUAUUAACAAAACAAACUAAGACAAAUAGAAUCAUUCGAGGCUAAUCAUGAUACACUUCUAGAGGCCGGGGGAGGGAGGACAAUAUCGCCUUUCAAUCAGAACACGUGACUAUUUGACAAAGUAAUCGAAUGCACUCAAACCAAGCCCUUACGAGAACUUGACUCAUAAUCCCGGCUCAAACAAGACUUGAUUAAGUUAAAGUCACAAAGAACAUAUUCGUAACAUCCAUAGAUAUAUUCAAAAUAGAGCAUGAUAAAGCGAGCAAACUGAAACAUGGGAUUGAAUGAGCGACAAGACCGAUCACACAACAAUCAUUUUGAUUCAGCCUCGAGAUUAGAAAAGACUCAUAGCAUACGAAGACAUAAAAACUCGAUCACAUAUGUCAGCAACCAAACACAAACAAAGAAUUUCUAAUCUUGCAAAUAUCGUGUCGAAAUGGGAAAAGUAGAAGAGGUUACCUUUCUUGGGGCAGCGAAACUGAGACUAGACGAGCGGAGGAGUAGCGACUUUACCACCACCAAAAUGCAACUCCGAGAGAGCUGAUGAGCAGAGCAGAAUCAAACGAGAUUUAAAACUUUGUUCCUUCUUUUUAUGGCUAUGAAAGUUGAUUUCCUGGAUGUUUAUAUAUGUAUAGUGUUUCACUGUGUCUCUCUCGAAUUCCGGCUAGUUUUUUCCAAUCUUUUUUCCUCCAACCUAUACAAUGAAGAAUAGGGGAAAUUUAUAGGGGGAAAACUAGGGUUCGGAAAAAUGGAGGGGAAGAUCCGGAUGGAAUUUUGGAUUCAAGGGCCCAUUCCAAUUUGAAUUUUGAAUUCUUUCACCAUUAAGGAGAGACAUCUUUUCUCACAAUUUUUGCCCCAUUCCGAAAGAGGAAAGGGCGAGAUGGAGAGCUAUGAUCGUUUCAUCGUCCUUGGGGCGCAACGUGGCAUCAUCUCGCGUCCACAAGGACGAAAACACGCUGCCCUUGUUGCUGCUGUUGUACGACGUUUUCAGGAAUUUCUUGUCGUUGGCGUGAAGAAGAUGAACAAGGGUGGGGUUGCUGUGUAUACGUAUGUGUCUGUUGAAUGUAUGUUGUUUGGAGGAAUUAGAAUUAAUGAAAUUGGGCUGCUGAAAUGAUAAAAGAAAUGGGUUUGGGCCGGCUGCUUGCUGGAAUUGAGGCCCAAAAUUGGCCUGAAGGAGUUUGAAAUAAUUGGUAAGGAAUGGAUUGGAUUUGUAAUUUAAGAUUUGGCCAAAUGAAUUGCAAAAUUAACCAACUCAAGUUAAAACUUAACCAAAUUGAGUUUAACUAAUAAAUUUGGCUAAAAUUUAAAUAAGACGAAUUAAUAUAAUCCCCUAUUGAGCUUCUUAAUUUCAACGAAAUAAAAUAAUAAACUCAAUUGUGAAAUAAUUAGUUCAAAUACAAACUAAUCAAUUCAAAAUUUAACUAUAAUUCAAAGCCAAAACCAAACAAAUAUUUAUUUUAACAAAGGUAGAAAUCUUUUGAUGUGAUUUUCAAAUAUUUAUAAAAUAUACCGAUUGCAUAUAUAAUUAUAUGAAAUAUAUUUAUUAUUCAAAAUAUUAUGAAAGUCGAUAAUAUUACCUAAAGUAACCUUGAAAAGUACUUAAAUUUUAUAAAACUAAUUAUUCUAAAUCGCUUAGAAAUUGAGAAGCUCGAAAAAAUUAAUUUCAUCACGGAAGGUCAAAAUUUGGGUGUCAACACAUUAUGGUGUUACGUUUCAAUAAAAUAAAUUAAAAAGUCCGGUAUAUUGUUACUAACUUGGUCAGCUGAAAAGGCAGUGGUCAUUCAGUUGAGAAGGACGAUGUUGUAGGUGGGACAUGUGAUUGUUGAGCAAUGAAGAAUUCUUUCAUUUCAUCUUCUAUGAUAGACAAGCGAUCGUUCUAGGAUUUGUUUUCCUCAUUCAAGGAUUUGUUUUCUUCAUUCAAGGAUUUGAUAUCCUCUCGAGUUGAACGUAGCGCAUACAAGAAUUCAGCCUUUGAUGAAGUUUCACCUUUCAAAUCUUUUGCCUUUACUCCAACCCCAAAUCCAAUUACAUGGCUACGAGUUUGAGGUCCACAACAUUUUUCAACAAUCUCUAUGAUAGGUAGAGAUGGAUUUGCUUGAACCAUUUCUUCAAGUUGAGCCUACAAAAUAUAUCAAAGAACAUUUUAUAUCAUAACACAUAACGAUUAUUUCAAGUAAUUAACAUAUUCAAUUUACCAAACGCACAUAUUUUUCAAUUGCUUCAGGUUCAACAAGCUUGUUAUAUUUCUUACGAGUCUCAAAGAAAAUAGUUGACAAAUCUGGUGGAUUGCCAUCUUUCCCACCCUUUACAUCAAAGUCAAACAUGCCAAAUAACACAGACCUCGUAAAUAUUCCAUUUAGAAAAAUAAUUUUAUGAUAAUACUUUGCUACCAAUAUGAUGAAGCAUCUUCAACUUGGCUCGAUUUGUUGCAUUCCUAGUGCUUCUUGCUUGUAUUUGUUCAACAAUAAGCUUCUAGUGCAAGUAAUUAGGCAUAGGUUAGCUAGUUGGUUCAUCUAGAAUGCUAGUACACUAUGUAUCAGACGUAUCUAUACUUAGGUUUGGUUUAAGGUAUAUUAGGUGCUAAGGAGGAAAAUCAAACUAUGGAAAAGAGUAGCAAAGUAAACUAUUAACUCAGUAUGCGCACAUGAAAACUUUCAGAAGAAAAAUGUUCCUUUACUAACCAUUCUGACUCUUUUUUGUCUACUCCACUAGGGACAUUCUUAAGAGACUGUUGGAUUGGCUUGUCCUUCACAUAUUUUGCAUGCAAGUGUCCUCUCCAUUUGUUCCAUAACUCGUUCAUCCAUCCCAAUAUAUGAUCACGAUGAUCAUUCAUAUCAAUCACUCUCAAAUAUAGGCUAUAACAAUUGAAACAUGAGUUGAGUUAUUAUUUUCAAAAAAUGAAGAGGCAUCAUAUGUUGUCAGGUGUAUAUUAAAAUUGAAAUGUUAAAAUUAUUUGACAAGGGUACAUUACUUUUGAAACUUCCGUUAAUGAAAGAUAUAAUGCAGAAUCAGGUGUAGAAUGGACUCAAAAGCUUUACAACAAUUGCUAUAUGGACAAGAACAUGUGAUGUAUGAGGUAACACCAAAUAAUUUGAAUAAGGUGUAUAUUUGUUACCUCAACAGCUGCCCACAUGUGAUUCAACUUUUCUUGCUUAAUAUCAUGCCACGAUGAUACCCCCACGGGAAAAAUGUUACAAUCACGAACAAUUUUUCCCAAAUGCCUUGAAAAAAGAUUGCUAUUUGUUCCAACCAUUCGAUUAUUGUAAAAUGUUACCUUCAGCUUUUGUCCAAUUUCAAGUGAAGAAACUUCUUUGCACUUGUUACUUCCUCGAACUCUUUUUACCUUUGUAGGAUUAGAUGAAUCUACAAUUGCAUGAUUUGAUAAAAACUAUAGCAAUCAAACUCAUUUCUAAGACUUAAUAACAUAUGAAUUCAAAAUAUCAUACAUUUUCUGUUGUUUGAGAGUGUUUCAUAACUUGAUCAAUAGAUGGAGGCAAUGAAACAUUGGUUUGCAUAUCCUCUUUCUCAAUUACUAUUUUUUUUUGCAUUUCUUGACUAGAAGACAUGGUAGAACUCAAUUUGGUGCAUUUAGUAGGAGUAUCAUUAGCAAAAACAACAAUCUUGUUGAAAGAUCCCACCUCAUAUUCAGAAAUACCUAAAGAGGAGCUCAAAGAUCCAGUUCUUUUCUCUAGUCCCUUUCCUAUAGCACCUGGACCCACUAAAUGUGAUAUAAAAGUUUACCAAAAACUUGAAAACACAGUAGAUUUUUAAAAAAUACAAUACAUUUGAAAAGAUCUGGCUUGUUUCAACUUCUUGGGUGUAUUUCUUAACUUGAUUAGUAGAUGUAGGAGAUGAAGUAUUAAUUUGAAUGUUCUCAUUUUCAAAAGCCAUGAAGUUCUUCUACAUAAAUAAUUUACAAAUUAAUAUUUUGUUAAAUUUGUAAGGUUUCACAAGUUGAAAGAUAAAAUAUAUGUUAUACAUUUUAAUUAAUUGAAAGUUAAAUAUGUUUAAUAAUAUACUGCAAGGAUCAAAACAAAAACUUAUCAAUAUUUCAAGGACUAAAAACAUCAAUUUCCUUUCUCUCAAUCUAGAAUCGUUACAAUAUAUACAUUUUACGUUAUAAAUAUUAAAUAUUGUAACCUAUAAAUACUUUUUGAUUGAUUUGAUAAUAUAAAAAAUCUUAAUGAUAUUAGUUGGAACUCUUUGAUGUUAGUUUUAAUUUUUUUUAAAAAGAACUCUUUGAUGUUUUUAUUUCCUCUUUUUGGGGGUUUGUUAUAAAGUGUAUAAAAAGGAACAAAUAUGACAAAUUUUUUCUCUCUAUUUACAACGUAUUCAUGCAACAUAUGACAAUUUUUUAUCUAGCAUAAUUGAAACGACCCCAAAAAUGCCCGAAAAUGUGCUUCGGAAACACCUAUAAUUGUAAUUUCCAUAUAUCUCAAAAUCCGUGCAUGAUUUCGGAAAUUCGACUUCAUAUUCUUAUUCAGGGGGUCAAAUUGAGUGGGAAAUGGGUCUAACCCGAAUUUUAGAGCAACCGUAUCAAAAUUCGAAAAUCGCAAAAAAUGCGAUUUUCAGGGUCAACUUUAAAGGGGUAUAUCUCUUAGCACACAAGGAACUGGAAGGACAACAAUAUAUUAAAUUUAAGCUCUUUGAGUUAGCUUUCCAACGCACUUGAUUUCACCUCAUUUCGAGUUAGAAUGAGGGAGUUAUGACAAUUUUCGUAAAACUUAUCUGUGCAGAUUUGCAAUUUCCAGUUUAUGUAUCUUUUAUAUAUUUCCAAUAGUAGAAAAAACUACUUCUGAAGCAUCUUUUGUGUAUUUAAAUAUUUAAUCUUCAAAAAUUUUCAAAACAUCAUCAUAAUUCUUGUAUUUUUGAUAUAAACUUUUGUUAACUCAAAUUAUCAAAUUUGCACAUUCUUGUCAACUUAAAUAUAGACCUUAUUUUUUAUCCUUAAAAAUAAUAUAGACGUACUUGUCCAUAAAAUGAAAAUUAUGAAUGAAAAUUGUGGAAUUUUGGAGGGGUGGUUUGAGUUUCGCUGAAGGAAAAAAUGGAUUCUAAUACUAAAAUUCAUUCACCACCCUUAUUUUUUGACUUUAUCAAAACUUAUAUAGGAAAUAAUUAUACAAUGGGCUCAGAUUGUGAAUUUGAGACUAUGAUCCAAAAUUGUUGGUUAAAUCUGUAGGGUGUACUAGAGAAUGGAGUAGAAAUAGCAGUGAAGAAGCAAGACGUGACUUCACGCCAAGGAUUUACUGAGUUCGAGAAUGAAUUCAAGUUAAUAGCAAAGCUACAGCAUCAUAACCUAACCAAGUUGUUGGGAUACUGCAUUAAUGGAGCAGAAAAAUUCCUAGUCUAUGAGUUCAUGGCGAAUAAUAGCCUAGACAAGGUCAUAUUUGGUAUGAUAUUUUAAAUAGCAUUCUUCUUUUUUACUAUUGUCUGUGUUGUUUUGAUAUUGAAAAGCCUCAAAAGACAUAAAUUUGGGAGUAUCCGAGUGAAAUUGAGUAACUAUUUUUUGUACUUGUCCAGAUCUUGCAAGAAGGGGUACAGUGACAUGGCCAAUACAUAUAGUAGCUGGAAACAAAUGGUAAACAAAUUAUGCUCGUCUUCUGGGAAUACCACUUUCAACAAGAAAGCUCUCAAUACAAAAAUGUCUCCCUACUAUUGAGAAGAUGAUAGCAAAUAAAAUGUUGCCUUCUAAGUUGUUGUCAUACAGAAGUAGUCUGCAACUAUUGUAGAGUGGCAUGUCAAUGGUGCAACAAUAUACAAGCCUAAGACAACAUGUACAUUGAAUGUGAUAGAUAUAUAUACAUGGAACAAGGCGGCAAUUGUAAGCAAUAAGAAGUCACUGACUUUAAUGAACAAGAUGAGAACAAGAUUCAUUUUUGAUAUUGUAUCUCAAUCUAGAAUUGUUACAAUAUAUACAUUUUAUGUUAUAAAUAUUAAAUAUUGUAACCUAUAAAUACUUUUUGAUUGAUUUGAUAAUAUAAAAAAUCUUACUGAUAUUAGUUGAACUCUUUGAUGUUAGUUUAAUUUUUUUUUAAAAAAGAACUCUUUGAUGAUUUUAUUUCUUCUUUUUGGGGCUUUGUUAUAAAGUGUAUAAAAGGAACAAAUAUGACAAAUUUUUUCUCUCUAUUUACAACGUGGAAUUCAUGCAACAUAUGACAAUUUUUUAUCUGGCAUAAUACAUAUAUUGGACCCUAAACUUGACUUCAAAUUUUAACUUUGACCUCCAACUUUCAUAGUGCACAAACAGGAACUUUAACUAUCCAACUUUUAAAUAAAUAAACACGUGAUUUUUGCAGCCAAAGAGCGUGAAGUGCAAAUGCUCUCACGUGUAUUAGCGAGCCACUCAAUUGCUGCCAACUAAUUAAAUAUAUUACACGUCGAUUUUUGAACUAAAAAAAAUUAAAAUUAAUUCCAAUUCAUAUACAAGGGUAAAGGGUAAAAGACGUUUUCAUUUCACCCGAUCGUCUCUCAAAAGGUCAAACCCCUAGCUAGGAUAAAUGUAACUCGCCAGAAAUUUUUUGAACUAAGACUCGAACCAUCCUUCGUUGUGAGUAGGAUUUUACCGAGGAAUUUAAAAUUUCUUAAGUGUUAAGGUCACUAGAUGUAGCACCUUGAGUUCCAAAAGGAACUAAAGAGAGUUCAUUCAAGUCAUUCCUAAGUUCUUUCAAGUUUUGGGUCAACUUCAAACAACCAUAACUUUCAGUACAAGAUGAGUUAGGUGGCCCAUAAGAUAUCAAAUGAAAUAUCUUUGAAUUAUCUUUCCAAUACCACUGAUUUUUCUAAGUUUAGAGUUUGCAUGAGUGAUAUAUGUCUUUUUGAAGUCAGGCUAUCCCAUUAAGGAAAGUUACCCGAAAAUAGUGAGGGGUAUUUUGGUCUUUUCCUUACCCAAUCAAAUUUAAUUCAUUUUAGUAAGGUUUUAGGUGUCUAAACUGAUUAGGUUCAGUUUUAUAAUCCUAAUUUAUGCUUAGGAUUUUAGUUGAGAGUUCAAGAAGAGAAAAGAAGAGAAAAGAGGAAAGGAUCAAAGCGUUCGUCGAGAUUCUUGAGUUUGUUGCGGAUUUUCGCCAUUGGUUUGAUCCCUAAGAGGUAUGUAAGUUUUCAUAGUAUUGGGUUCGUUCACCCACACGCCAAUCCUGAGUUUCUUUUUACGAAUUUCAUCCAUAAGUUUGGGUAUAUUGAGUUCUUGAUGAGUUCUUGAUAAGUGUUCUUGAAGUUUCAUUCUAAAUCUUGUUUUGUUGGGGUUUGAUGAAUUCUUGAGAUGAAAGUUAGUGAUUUUAAGGGUAGUUUUGAGUAUAUUAGUGUGUACUUAGGUUGGGUAUUCGAUUCUAUGUGAUUGGAGAAGAAACCAUUAGAUUUUACUCGAAUUAAGGUAAAAAAAUAAGUACAAAAAUUCAUCGGAAUUAUCUGGGGGGAUGGUGGCGCGACGCGCCAUGGAUGCACCAGUAGGGCAGUGUGCCAAGAUAGUGCCUCUGAAGUUUAGGGGCUGGUGCCCCACGCCAGGAAUGCGCUAGGGUCGCCUGCCCCCACUCUUUUUCCGUUGGUUGUCCCGUUUGAGUUCCUUUGAAAUGUAUCUUCACCCCUUAUGAUUCUAACCACUCUAAACUACUUCUAAACACCUAGAAAUCAUUCAUAACAUGAAUCAUAACCUUGAAUUCAUAAUUCAAAUUCAAGGUAGAGUUAAGAGUCAAGUCUUGAGAGUUCUUCGAACAUUUUUGAGAAAGUCCUUUUGAGUCUUUUUGAGGAGUCUUCUACAAUUUCUAAUAACUUGUUUCAAGACUCGAGCAAGUGAGUAUGAGAAUGAGGAGAAUGUAUUCAUGAGUCUACAUUAUCAUCGAGAUCCUUCAUAUCAUGAAUCAUAACUUGAAUUCAUAAUUCAAAUUCAAGAAAGAGUUAAGAGUAGAGUUUCAAGAAAGCCUCUGAGUUAAAUUGUGAAUCCUUUGAGAUCAACUAUGGAUUUUGAGUUAAGUUUUGAGGAAGUAAGUAUGAGAAUGAGAAAAAUCGUAUACAUGAGUUACAUAUUGUUAUUUAGACCUUUGAGUCGAGUCAUUCAUUCCCAUAACUUCCAUAUGAACUCCAUCAGUUGAGUAUCUUUGAGAGGAGUAGUAUCUCCAAGUUCUAAGUUCUUGAGCAUUGAGUUUUAAUCCUUUCGAUAUUAUAUUCCUAAUCAUGGGACUAAUACAUGUUACCCAUGAAGGUCUUUGAGUUGAGUAGUCAUGCCCAUAAUUCCUCAUGAGCCCUAUGAGUCGAGAAGUCUUGAGAUAAGAAGUAUCAUUGAGCCCUUGAGUUGAGUAGUUCAUGCCCAUAAUUCCACAUGAACCCCCGUCACCCCCCUUCCCCCCGAGUCGUGCAUUCUUGAGAUGAGUAGUAUCAUUGACUCCAUGAGUUCUGGAAUUGUUGAGUUCCAAGUAUUGAAUUCUAUGCAUGGUUAUUGAAAACCUUGAAUUGAGUCGUUCACGUCUAUAAUUUGGCAUGAACCCUAUUUUAAGAAGUCCUUUUACAAAUUAUUUUAAACUUAUUUUAAAGACUUGAGCACUGAGUUGAGGAAGAUUAGAGUUGUGUUCAUUUUUCUUUAAAAUGAUAUAUGGGAACUAAGUAUUCCUAAGAGUAAAUGUUUUCACAUUUAAGAUGAGAGGAAACUGAGAUUUCCAAAAGAGUUUUGAGCAAUUUGAGUACCAUCUCUUUUAAGAGAAAGAUUUUUGAGUAAUACUCUCAAACCACAGAAAGAGGGAAUGUUUUCUUUAAAACAUAAUGAGCUAAGUAUAUUUUGGGAGUAGUAUUGAGCACCGAUAUGGUGGAGAUUCCAUACAACUCACAGCCCCCAUAUACCAUGUAGACAACGUGGGUAGAAAGGGUAAUACAUUUUAUAUGAUUCUUUAAUGCUUUUAACAUAGACUAGUGGAUCCACUUAGUGAGUAGGUCAUAUACCCCGGCAAAGUAUAUGACAGUUCUGGCAGCGUGGGCGAGACGAUGUAUCAUCACAUAACUCAUAGUGAUGGUUGUCGGUUAGAGAAUCUCCCACAGAGUUUAUUUUGUAUUUUUGCAUACAAACAAAGUAUAUUGUAUUUUUAUACAAGUUGAGUUAUUAUUGUAUUUUUCAAUACAUUGAGUUGUGAUCUACUAUUUUAAAAGCUUUCCAUUCAUUGCAUCUUUUAUCGUUGCUUUAUCUUGAGUUGAGUAUUCUUCGAGUUGAGCAUCUUACAUCUGAGUUGGGUACCUUAUCAUUGAGUUGAUCCCUAUUUCUUUGAGUUGAGUUGAGUGAGUUACGAAGAGGUAAGUAUGUUUCUUUUCCAUCAAUUCAAGCUUAUGGUUAUGCUUUAGAAUUCCCCUUACAUGCUCGUACAUUCCAUGUACUGAGCCAUUUGGCCUGCAUCGUUUCAUGAUGCAGAUAUAGGUAUUCAGGAUCAUCAACAAGCAUUUCGUUGAGGUCAUGGGAUGUUCUAAUCAGCUUUGGUGAGCCUUCACCUUUAUCUUACAGUUAGUAGUUUUAAGAUGUCGUGGGUCUUGUACCGAUAUCCUUCUGUAAUAGUAGAGGCUUCAUAGAUAGACAAAGAUUAGUAGUUUUUAGUAUGUAUCUUCUUUAAGUUGGUUUUACAAACUAUGAGUUAUCUAUUGAGUAUUUUUUUUCAGAUUUCUUUAAAGCUAAGUAUUUGAGUUUAUUGAAUUUUAUUCAGUUUCAAACUUUUGUAUGCUUGAGUUAGUCUUCUGCUUGUAGUCAGCUAGGAUGAGGGUUCGCUUGAGGACCAUCAACGGUUCUCGAGUGCCGGCCACGUCUAGGGUGUAAACUCGGAUCGUGACAAUAAACAACCAAAAUCUGGUGAAUCAAAGGGAAAAAUUGUUCAAGAUUUCUGCUGAAGCUGAUGUUCAUAUGUUCAUCUUCCUCAAUUUAGUCCAGGUAUGCCUCAAUUUUUCCCUUUCGAAACUUUAAACAAAAAAAAGAUGUCUUAAAUGGAACCAUACCUGACCAUCUUCACAUCCAAGAAACCAACGACCUGGAUUGUUUGCAAACCAAUAAAUCUUCAUUAUAGCUCUUUUUCCACAAUGACAAAAAAAAUUAGAAUCCAUUUGCACUAAAUAUGAGCAGAAAUCAUUCUAAAGAGAGGAAAAAAAUCUUGGUUUGAAAGAGGAGGGAAAAAAAUGAGAUUUUGAUUUGGAAAUAUAAAGAUAUAUAUAAAAGGGAUUCAUUAAGGGUAGAGUUGUCAUUUCAGCAUUUUUUUUACCGUUGUGGGCCUAAAAAAUUACUCAUCACUCGCACAGAAUAAGUGCACAACGCAUGUUUUGCCAGGUAGGACUCGCGUGUUUAUGUAUUUAAAAAUUGGAUAGUUAAAGUGCCUGUUUGUGCAAAGUUGGAAGUCUAAGUUAAAAUUUGAAGCCAAGUUUAGGGUCAAAUAUAUGUAUUAUGCCUUUUUAUCUUAUUGUUAAAAGUAUCGUUUUACAUAUAUUUCUUCUUGAUCUUGAAAUAUUAUAGUAGUGAUUAAAUUAAAAUUACAUUCUUAUGAAAUAUGCAGGAUGUUAUUCGAAAGAGAUAUAUACUUGAAGUGUUGAAUGUAUCUGGUCUCACUAGUGUAAGUUGCAAGUCAUCUUCAGGUAUUUAUUUAUUUUUAUUUUUAUUUUAAAAGAAAAUUUAUACCACUAGACAGUGGUCUAGUGGCUUUUUAUUAAUAAUAAUCAUAAAAAAUUCUCAAUAGGAAUAAGUACAAGUAAGGGAGGCUAGACCUUACCUUACCAAUCCUAAUGAGGUACCUAACCUCUACUAAUUAACAACAAUGAAGAAAAUACGAGCUAGAGAGAACUAGAUAUUCUAUGAUCAUCACAAAGUUUAUAAUACACUCUAUGAUGAUAUUACAAGUGAGGAUUCUUAAGUAAUGAAAAAUCAUAAAGGCCAAGGAGAAGGUUGAGUUAUCAACCUCAAACUUCCUUUUACAAAUGCAUGAACUAAACAAGAUAGAUUGGCCUUCUAAAGGAACCUGAAAUAUGUUUCUCUUGUCUUCUUCUUCAAAUCUGUCCAAUAACAGUUGAUAGUGCAUCACUUCUUGGCUUUAUUGAAUCGUGUUUCCAAUAACACUUGAUAGUUCAUCACUUCUUGGCUUUAUUGGAUCUUGUUGAAGUUGUUGCCACUGUCAUAUGAUUCUGCUUCGCCAGUCGCAUAAGUAGGUGCCAAGGAACAAACUCCUUAGUCACUUUACCAUCCCAACUAUGCUUUCUUUCAUGCUUCGUUUUGUUGUUGCGUUGUUGCCUAGGAGAAAUAUCUGCAUUCCUAGCUGCAAUUGCAAAACAAUAAUCCAGCAUUUCCUCUUCCUCACCUUCCUCACCCUCCUCAGAGAUGUCCUCAUCAUCUAGGUUAGCAAACUUAUUUGGGGACAAAGUAAAACUACCACCAACUUGAAGUUGUUUGUUAAUGUUAAUCGGUGCAAGUGAAGCCAAUUUUUCAAUAUUAGAACUCACCAAACGAUCACUUAAGAUUGCAACAACAUUUGUUGAUGGUGACUAACCUUACGGGGGAGUUACUAACUUGGCACUACUAGGCACAAAAGCAGGAGCUGUUGGGCUCAAUUUCUUUUGCAUAGGAGGAGAAGUGACUUGUUUCUCCUCUUUAUCUGCUAUAUCUAUCCAUCUCAGAGUACUUGUCGCACCUUGUUUUUCCUAAGAAAUAACUAAUUCAUUUGUAGAGUUAACUUGAGAUGAAUUGAUCUCAUGCACAAAAUUAUUCGUAAGAGCAUCAAAGGUGUUAAAACACAUGACCUCUUGUGGAACAAUUUCUCGAGCACCUAAAUUCAUAGUUUGAUUAUCUACAACUUGUUGCACUGUGUUACUAAUAGGCGAACCAAUUCCAAUACUUGGAGAUUUUUUCUUCGUCACCACAACCCAAUUAGAUUCAUGUACCAGUUCCACUCCCCCACCUGUACUCUUGGCAUUCAUCAAGGCAAUUGAAUUAGUUUCGACAUCACUUUCAAUUCUUUUAUUGGCAUUGUCGACCUGCUGCAUCAUGUUGUCAACCAAGCAUUCAAUAGUUUCAACACCCCGAGCAUCAUAUUGCGGUCCAUCUGCCACUACCUUUGCAUUCACGGGAUCCAAUGCCAAAUCAACGGUUUUGUUAGUUGCCAAUGGAUGUUGCGACUCUAGGACCAAAGUAUUUCUAGUGGUUAAACUUUGGUCCCCUGAAGCUGAUUCGUGCGCAACUGCUUUGCCUAAGAGUUGCCCAAAAUUUCUUUAUUUUGGCACUCCAAAUCUCGUGCCACAACUACCUGAUCAUGGACACCACUUUUAUCAACCACAAGGGAUUUAUUUUCAGCCCUCUUUUCAUCUAAUAUUUCUCGAGCAUCACCUUGAUAUUUUUCUAUCUCAGAGCCUACUUGCGAUGCUUCUUCUUGGUUUCUUGCUGCAGUAUUUCCCAAUAAUAGUCGACAUUCACUUUCGUUGUGGCCUUGAUGCUUACAAAAGUGGCAAUAAAACGGCAGAUUAUCAUACACAAACUUCUGAAAUUGCUCCACACUUUUUUCUGUUUUCUGGUCGACAUAUUGAAUUCUCAUUCGAUGUAGCAAAUUUGCUAGCAAAUCAAUUUAGACUUUAACUCUAGCCGUGCUAGGUCUCGACUUAUCUUGAGUGGCUUUAUCAAUUGCUAUUGGCUUACCAGCAGCCGAAGCAAUUGACAGUAAGGAUUGUUUUGCAAAAAGUUCUGGCGGCAAGUUAGGAAAAGAUAUCCAAGCAAAAGCUCUUGAUGUCUCUUCUUUCGGAUUGAAGCCAAUUGUCCAUGGAAAUACUCUAAAUUGCUUUCGUAAACCAUUGUACGGAAGGCACUGAACAGUUUUAGCAGUGAAUAACUAAUGCAGAGGGAUACCUUUAUUCGAACAACGAAAUACCAGCAAAAUUGAACAAAAUAAUAACAAAGAACAAAAAGAAUGAUCCUAGCUACUACUUUUUAAGUGCUAAUGGAACUGUAAGAAGGGACACAUUGAUGCAGAGCCAAGUAACAGACUAACAAAUCAUCUCUGAAAUCGUAGAUUUCAUUAGGCCUCGGUUCCGCUAAAGUUAGCCUACCAAACAGCGAGUUAAUCUCUUCUGGGUUUCUAUUUGCCAUGCCUGGGGUUCUACAAUGAAAGAAUAUUGUAUCCCAUUUUCUUUGUUUAAAAUGGAGCGACGUGGACAGUAAGGAUUCAUUUAGCCAACCCUAAGAAACACGGCUCGCCCCCAGCCAUAUGCUGGGGAGAGGAUGCGGCUAUCAUGGAUUUUCUUCAAGGCGACAUAGUUCGCAGAAGAGAAGAGAGAGCAGCCGGCCCUAGGUUAAAUUUUGUGUAGAUGUCAUCUUCAGGUAUAAUAUUUAAAAUUGAGUGAUAAAUUAUGUGUGUUUAGUAAUUAUGAAAAAGUUGUUUAUCAAGAAUGAUCACCAUCUCAGGUACUAUUCAUUGCCUUCAGUGAAGACUCAUAUCUAAAUUAAUCAAGAAAUAAUACGACGCUUUGCUAUAGGAUUGUUUGCAACAAAUUCUAAUGUCUACGAUUAAACAUCAUCUACCGAGAAAAAGGACUUAAGUGGCGUGUAGCAUGACGAUGUAGAAGUUGUUAGAGAACAAAUGAAGUUGGAUGUAGUGGCGGAGCCAUCUUAUGUUAAGGGACGGAAGUUAAUUGUUCAUCUAGGUUAGAAUUUUAAUUGGCAAAAUACAUAUAUUUGACCCUAAACUUGGCUUCAAAUUUUAACUUUGACCUCCAACUUUCAUAGUGCACAAAUAGGCACUUUAACUUGUAUAAAAUAGAACAAAUAGACACACAUGUCCUACAUGGCAUCCUACAUGUCAUUUUUUGUCCUACGUGGUGUCCUACGUGUAUUGUGCCAUGUAGGACUCGUGUGUUUACUUGUUCUACUUUAUACAAGUUAAAGUGCCUAUUUGUGCACUAUGAAAGUUGGAGGUCAAAGUUAAAAUUUCAUGUGCCUAUUUGUGCACUAUGAAAGUUGGAGGUCAAAGUUAAAAUUUGAAGCCAAGUUUAGGGUCCAAUAUAUGUAUUAUGCCAUUUUAAUUCUAUAUAUAUAUGUUAAGGGUAUGCAAGGGUAAGGUCUGAGUACACCCCUCCUCCUAGAUUCUACUUGUAUGAUUAUACUGGUAUGUUGUUGUUGUUAAGAUGUUGGUUCAUGAAUUUUUAUGUACUUCCUCUCUUUCAAUUUGUUUGUCUGGAUUUGAUAUGAAAUUUAAGAAAGUAAAGAAGAAUUUUGAAUCAUGUUAUCUUAAACUAAGUGUACAAUGUAUCAAAAUGAACUUUAAUCUUGUGUAUUAAAUAUAUCACUUGAAAAAUUAAAAUUAAAGAGUUUUCAAAAGGAGAAAAAACGGUCUUAAAAGAAACGUAUAGCAAACAAAUUGCAAUGGAGGAAAUUGCGGCUCUCGCUGCUUAUUAUUGUUGUAGAAAACGAAGAGUUUUUUGCCAUUAGCAAUUCUAAAAUCAUGUUUUUUGCCUUGCAAGAAGUUCUUGAUUGUUUCAUUGUAAGUAGAAUGAGUAAUGAUAUUUAUUUUCUGUCUGCUGCAACUUUUGUAAAGAAUAAUGAUUCAUGAAUAUAUAAACGGAAAAGUGGUAAAUAUACUUCUUAAUUUUGCAAUUUAGACCUGAUAUACCUAUAGUUAAAUAAAUGAUAUAUAUAUAUAUACCCUCGUCAUCUAACAGAUAGAGCAUAUUUACCCUUUUUCAUUGUAUGUGUUCAUGAAUUAUGAGGAACACAAGGAAAUGGUACCUUAUUUUGUAGAAAAAGAGGAGUUUUUUUGCCAUUAACAAUUUUGAAAUCAUUUUUGUGAAUCUUCAUUCCACCCGUGGGAUUACACUAAGUUUGUUGUGGGGCGGAACCAGCAUAUUGUUAGGGGGUUCAACGGAAAAUAUUAGUCCCUCCAUUUCAAAUUAAUUGAAUUGUUAAGGUAUAGCUUUCCAUUUUAACCCUUAUUAAUUAUUGUCAAAUUUAUGAUUAAAAUAACUAAACAUUAAUUAUAUAACUAAUUUCAAUACUAACUAAUGAAGGGUAAAAUUGGAAGAACAUACUAAAAGUAGUCUUGAAAAUUGAAUAGUUAAGUUAAUUUGAAAAAUGUCUCAACAAAUCAAUUAAUUUGAAAGGGAGGAAGUACUAUUUUUAUAUGGUUAAAAUUAUUUUUUUAUGUAUAUAUAGUAGAUAUCGAACCUCCUUCGACUUGUUCGUGUGUUUACUUCUUCAUUUGAACCCCUUAUUGAAAAUUCUAGCUCCGUCAUUGGCGUUGUUGUUUGUGAAUCUUCAUAUAACAACUCUGUAUUUUUAGAGUAUUAGAUGCUUCAAAAAAAGUGCUCUACAUUGUUUUGUUGCCACUUGAAAAAGUAAUGACAAAAUGAAUUGUGUUUUGUGCACAAAGUGAUAUUUAUCUAUUUUCUGCAAAAAGUGAUAUUUAUCAGAACGGAUACUAGUAGACUUUUCGUUGAUAAGGUUUUGCAGUCUUAGUCCUAGUCCUAGUGCUGUAUUCUGCACUUUUACAACCCAAAAUUGGUGUGUCCAAAAGGACAAAUCUUCAUAUUCUCGAACAAUGCACCUCUCUAGUAGUAUACUUCGGAAUUUCUGUAGAGAAAACUUCGGCUUGUCAAUAUCCCAUCCCCCUUAAGUUUGGCUCCUUAGCUGCUACGUGGUUCCUGACUAAGAGUAACACUUUAAUUGUACAAGUCGUUUUAUACCUAUUGCGUAACUCGAGUUGCUUGUUAACUUAAAUGUUGUGUGUCUUCAUCUGUAAACAAUCAAACUCCUCUCUCAAAUUUAAUUUAAUUUUAUAACCUUACUGAUACAAGGAUAAAGUUCAGCAACCAUACGCGAAACUAUAGGCAACAUGAAGAUGCACUAUACUCAAAAACCAAAUAUAACAUAUGAAAACAAACAAUUUUAUGAGUUUACUAAUACAAGAGGAAUGCAAAUACAAAUGCAAAUGAUUCAAACACAACACAAAGACUCAAUAUACUCAAAAGCACCAAUUGUACUACAGUAAAAACUUGUUCAUCUUCAACAUCAUAAUCACAGAAUUUCUCAAAGGUCUUGUUUAUAAGAUUGUACUUCAUUACCUUAUCAUCAUUAACAACUGCCAGAACCAAAAAUGCAUCCUCUUCUCGUUUACCUCGAACCAGAGAUAAUAUCCUAAAAUUACAAUAAGUCAACUCAUGAUCAGGAUGUUCAAAAUCAACCUUGUACUUAACAAACCAUUCAGAAUCAUCCCUUCUCAUCUCGUAUACAUCAAAUCGAAUUGUGUAGAAUGAAAUUUUUGUGAUGUGCAAAUGGCCACAAGAUUCACCAAAAUAUGUUAUAGUUGUUCCUUGAUCAUCUGGAAAAUGUGGCAUUGGCAUUACCCCUAACCUCUCAAAAUCAAGAUUGUAAUAUAAACAAGUCAAGUUUCCAAUAGUACUAAUCCAGUAAUUUGAUCCAUUCCAAUAAACCCCUUUGGAGAAAUUAACAUCAGCAAUGAAUGGAUCACCUGAUAGUCUCCAUAGGCCUGUUUCGAGUUAAUUUCACGCAUGGUCAUUAAACUUUAUCCACCAUAACAAAAAAAAUAACACAACUACUUUUUGUCAUAUUCACUGAACUUUACAUAUUAAGUGAUGCUUCGCGUAAUUACAUAUUAAGUUAGUAAAAAUAUAUCUUACCUUCUAGUUUGUGACAAAAAGGUAGAGUUUAGUUAGUUACUUUACUGUGACAAAAACAAUUUUGUAACUUUUUUAUAUUUUAGUGAAUACAUAUGAAAUUCACAAACCUGUUUGAGAUGAGUAGAUUUUAAUCUGAUAAUGCUGAGGAGACGAAACAGAAUCGCGAACACAUAUUACUUUGUAAUGAGGAGACUUGGCAGGAUCAAAAGCUAAGCUUAGACCAUGAAUUUUAGAAUUUUCAGUUUCAAGAACUGAUUUUGAAAGUGCUGUGUAAUGUUUCGUAGUGGGGUUGCAAACAUAGUAAUUUGUUUUAGCUAGACGCGAAGGGGAGUUGGAACAGAGUAUUAGUCCAUUGCAAGAUUGCAGAACACUAAUACCAGAAGAGUCUUUAAUGAAUUUGAGAUUCUUAAAUGGUGGUUUUGGGGGAUUUUUCUUAUCAAAAUUGGGGUUUUGCUGGAAGAGAAUAAGGACAGGUCAAGAAAAGGCCUAUUGCGCGAUUUGGAUUGGGAUGACAGAGGACAGAGAAAUGUGGAUGAGUAAUGAUAGAAAGCCAAUGUUUGGAUACGGUUUUGAAACAGAGAAGGGAUCUUAUAGGUACGCGUAAAAGAAUUUCCAUCAAUAGAUCAUCAAUCGAAACAACUAUUCGAGCUGAUGAUGGCUGCUCUAAAUCUGAAAAUUUCGGGAUCUUGAGUU
rnacentral:lncRNA from 1 species